CCAGGGUUGUGACCAUAAUGUGGUGGCUUCUCUCCCUUAGGUGGCUUGCCAACUGGGGUUGGUGGCUUGUGUUCAGGAAGUGGUUUCUCUCCCUUGGGAGGUUUACCAAUUGGGGUUGGUGGCUUGUGUUCUGGGAGUGGUUUCUCUCCCUUGGGAGGUUUAGUGGGUGACUUGUGUUCUGGAGGUGGCUUCUCCACCGGAGGCUUGUGCUCCGGUGGUGGCUUCUCCACCGGAGGCUUGUGCUCCGGUGGUGGCUUCUUGAUUGGAGGGGGCUUGGGGUAAUCAGCAAGAGAUGGGAUGGUGAGAACCACCACUCCAAGGAACAACACUAGCAAGUAUGUGGGAGACAUUUCUGAGUUUGAGCUGAUCAGAUGAUGCAAAACUAGAAGAAUUACGGGACCUUUUAUAGCAAGUAUCUCCCAAUACCCACAUGACACGUGUUACUAUGACCAUAAAUAUUAUAGGGUCCAUUUGUGCCCUACCGGGUUGAAAACUUGGACGCUUGGCCGAGGACACACCUGACUAUGGAGGACUAUUGACGUGUGAUCACAGCUUUUGGAUUUUUCUUCCUGUGCAGCUGUCUAGCGGUUGGCAUUAUUUUCUUAAUCUUAAAUAAAGGCAUAGUUAUAGAGUUGUUUAAUCUCUAAAUGGGAUUUUAUAUAUCUUCAGAUAGCCAUUAAUAUAUUUGAUGAAGAAAGACAAGUGCAUACAACAUGUAUACGGCUUGCUUCAAUCGAGUACAUUUAUGAUCAGUUUUCCUGUGCAAGUAAACCAGUUUUUUGUUCCACAACUAUUUUGGAAUCUUGUUUAUCAGUUUCUAUCAUUAUAAUGUCACAUAGGCUGCAAACUUGGGCACCCAAAGAUCUAGGUGGGCAAAUUUGUUUCAGACUUUCAAUGGUGGAUUCAGUAAUUGUUAAAAGGUGUUUCUUCAUUAAGGAAAGAGUCCGGUAAAAAUAUUGUUAAAAGGUGUCAUAGAAACUAUAAUAAAUAAAUAACUUCUUUUCCCCAUGGGUGGUGUUUCUUCUGGGGAUCAGUGACUGGUUAGGGUCACCCAAAAUGAGUCCAGAUUAAAAUUGGUUCGAGUCAAAGCAGUCUCUUUUGUCCAGAAAUCAACUAUUUUGCGCAUUGAAUGAAUCGAUAAAGAAAAAAUGAAAGCCAAAUCACACCUCCCCUGCAAAACCUAAACCCCGGUUGCUAACUUUCUAUGUUUCAGUCCUAUUCAUAUAGGAAUAUUGGUUCAAGUUUGAGAAAAAUGGCAACUUACCUAGGGUUUACUUGGUUUUGGUUUGCGACUAUUUACGCAACCAACCAUGAGUUUGACUUUAACGUCAUGGGUUGAAGCCUCCUACAAUCAUGUAUGAUAGUUCAAAGCUCGUGGAAGAAAUUAUACAGGAAGGAAGAAACCUCCAAAGCUAGCUCCAAAAGAGAAUUAUCACAUCGAUAGCUCCAGAGAUUCCCAAGGGAACUGAAUCAAAGACAAGUUCCUCACUUUUUCUUCUUUUGAGGCCAAAUAUGAACCAAGGAUCACACGACCUCAUUCAACUUCAUAAGUUUGAUUUCAUGCAGUUGAACACUGGGUGAAGGCCAUGACAAGAAUUGAUUAAAAAAUUCUACCACUCUUUUAAGUAAUGGAAGAUUAUUAUCUCUGAUUGGCACCACAACAGCACAUGCUGCUAGAUCUUUCUAGACACUCCAUGCAAUGAAAGCACAAUGGAUCUUGUAAUGAUAGAAACUAAGCCAUGCUACAGUACUAGAUGAGGGGGUAAAACUAGUAGACAUCUUUCUAGACACUCCAUGCAAUGAAAGCACAAUGGAUCUUGUAAUGAUAGAAACUAAGCCAUGCUACAGUACUAGAUGAGGUGGUAAAACUAGUAGACAUGGCUGGCAGUUGAUUACUACUCAAAAAGUACUCUUUUAUAGCUUGAAACUAACUGUUUUAAACACUUUUGAGUAGUAGUUAAUACCUUUUAACUUAAUUGGCACAUUAAGGAACCUAGCAAGGGUUACUAAUCAACAUUUGGCAAGUUUUGAUGUUUUUGGUAGCUAUUUGAUCAUUGAAACAAGCCAAGAAUGAGGGGGAAUUUUGUGAAGUCCAUGGCAAUGCAAGUUAAAGCUCAAAUACAUGAAGAAUCCAAGCUUUGGAGCACUUCAUAGCCCUUUGCCAAGCCAAUCAAAGAUGCAAGGAAGAAAACCAAAGGAAGAAAUCCAACAAUCAGCAUUUUGGCAUGGCUAUGUGAAAUUUCGCACACCAUGCGAAACCACAAGAGGCAGCCAAAGAAUUUCGCAUGGUAUGCGAAAUCUUCUUGUGCACUGACUCUGUUAGAUUUUUAUCUUCAGAUAUUUUGUGUAAUUUCCUAGUUUCUCCUUGUAACCAACUUAGAUAUUUUCUUUUAUAUCUUUUUUUAUAUUUUUUAGGUAACAUCAUAUAUAAGAGGAGAGACAUAAGGAGGAUAUGGAUGUUUUUCAUAGAACACUUGUAAAUUUUUGGUAGUAAGAAAUAUACAAAGCUUUUUGCUCUGCCUUACCUUCUCAAGGGAUGAGUGGCUAGGUUUUCUUGGAGUGAGGGAAGCUAGGUGAAGGACCUGAAUGCAAAGGUGGGAGUUUUCCUUACUUUAAAUGAAAGUAGUUGUUAAACAUUAAUGGUUUUUAUUUUAAGGUUUAGCUUUAAAUCCCUGAAAAACACCUUGAAUGGCCAAUACUUGGUAAGCUUUUUAGAUUCUAUGGAUGCUUAUUGCUAGAUCCAUGGAUGUCUAUUAGUUAUCAUUUACGAGCCAUUGGAAGGUGAUUCAAGGUGAGGGUCUUUAGUGUUUGAAGCCAUUAAUGGGAAGCAAUUACCAUUUUUUCAUGAAUCCUUUGGAUCAAAUCUUAAUUGCUAAAUAUAAAACCGGUUUCGAGAGAUAACCACCAUCCUUUAUGUUAUUAUCCCCAACGCGAGGAGAAGAUCCGAAAUCUUCCUUUUUAUCUAAGGAACCCGAUCCUAGUGACCUAAAGCUCCAAGAUACCUUUUCUUUGUAGUUAACUUCAUUUAUUGUUUUUGCUUAACUUAAAAUCAAUCUUUGCAACCACAAUUCCAUUUUCUUUAAAAGCUAAUUUUUAUAAGGAAAAACACCAUUUUAUUUCCUUCACUAAGUCAACUGUACGAUGAAAACCCAUCCCUGUGGACGAUCCUAGAGCCACUAUACUAUGUUAGCUAUGCUACCCUAGUGUGAGGUGAUUUAGGUUUUAUAAAUUUUUUUGAUAACACCCAUCUGAGCCAGAAUCAAAUGGCACGACUGAACCAGGGACGAAUCAAAUGACGCCGCUACCAAGGAUGGUGCCAAAGUACAUUGACAUGACUUUUGGUGAACACUUGUGAUCUUCACCACAAGUUUGGUGAUUUUUCUUUUACUAAUUUUUUUUAUUUUAGCUUAUCUUUUAUUUAGUUUUUAGUUAACCUUAAAUUUUUCCUAGAAUUGUAUUUCUUUUGUUUUCUUUGUUUUUGUUUCAGUGAUCUUUAGUUGUGCAUGCCCUAUUGGAUAAGAGAUAUUGAGGGAAUACUUGUGAAGAUUGAAACUCCUCGAGAAACUGAGUUAGAAGUGUGCUUGAACAUCAUGGAUGUUCCACCUGAAGACCAGAAUAGCCAACAUGGUUAAGAGGAUAAUUUCAACACAUACCGAUCCAUGAGGAACCGCAUACAUCCACCUUGUAUGAGUGCACCGUCAGGCAUAAUGCCUCCCACUGAGCAGCUAGUAAUCUGACCUCACAUUGUGCCACUCCUACCUACUUUCCAUGGGAUGGAGAGUGAGAAUCCCUACUCGCAUAUUAAGGAAUUCGAGGAGGUUUGUAAUACAUUCCAAGAAGGAGGAGCUUCAAUUGACUUGAUGAGGCUCAAGCUAUUUCCUUUCACUUUGAAGGAUAAGGCCAAGAUUUGGCUUAAUUCUUUAAGGCCAAGAAGUAUCCAAACUUGGAUUGAUUUGUAAGCCGAGUUUCUUAAGAAGUUCUUCCCUACCCAUAGGACCAAUGGUUUGAAAAGGCAAAAUUUGAACUUCUCAGUUAAAGAGAAUGAGAAAUUCUAUGAGUGUUGGGAGAGCUACAUGGAAGCUAUUAACGUUUGUCCUCACCAUGGCUUUGACACAUGGCUCUUAGUGAGCUAUUUUUACAAUGGUAUGUCUUCUUCAAUGAAGCAACUCCUAGAAACUAUGUGUGGAGGAGACUUCAUGAGUAAGAAUCCGGAGGAAGCCAUGGACUUUUUGAGUUAUGUGGCUGAAGUUUCAAGAGGAUGGGAUGAACCAAAUGCUAGAGAGGUGGGAAGAAUGAAGUCUCAACCUAAUGCUAAGGGUGAGAUGUAUGUUUUGAAUGAAGACAUUGACAUGAAAGCAAAGGUUGCAGCUAUGGCAAGGAGAUUGGAAGAGCUAGAAAUGAAGAACAUACAAAAAGUGCAAGCCAUUUCUGAGACAUCAAUGAAAGCUAUGCCUUGUUCCAUUUGUCAAUCUUAUAAGCACCUAGUGGAGGAGUGUCCUACAAUUCCAGCAGUGAGAGAGAUGUUUGGUGAUCAAGCAAAUGUUAUUGAUCAAUUCAAGCCUAAUAACAAUGCUUCAUAUGGCAACACCUACAAUUCAAAUUGGAGGAACCAUUCAAAUUUCUCUUGGAAACGAAAGCCACCUCAAUACACACAACCUACUCAAGCACCUUAGCAAUCCUCGAAUCUUGAACAAGCUAUUGUGAACCUUAGCAAGGUUGUGGGAGACUUUGUGGGAGAUCAGAAGUCCAUCAAUGCUCAACUGAAUCGGAGAAUUGACAGUGUGGAGAGUACAUUGAACAAAAGGAUGGAUGAGAUGUAAAAUGAUCUGUCUCAAAAGAUAGACAAUGUCCAAUACGUAAUCUCAAGGCUUACCAACCUCAACACAGUGUAAGAGAAAGGAAAGUUUCCUUCUCAACCUCAUCAAAAUCCUAAGGGUAUCCAUGAAGUAGAGGCUCAAGAGGGAGAAUCUUCAAAGGUGAGGGAAGUCAAAGUAGUUAUCACCUUGAAGAGUGGUAAAGAGGUUGAUCAACCCACAUCCAAGCCAAAGCAUAAUGAAGAGAGUGUAGCAGAAAAAGAAAAGAGAGGAAAAUAAAGGAAUUAGAAUAGAGAAAAAUACAAAGAAAGAUGACCAUGAGUCUAGUGUGGAUGAAGAGCCCGAGAGGAUGGUGAUCAAGGAAGAUAUGAUGAAGAAACACAUGCCUCCACCUUUCCCCUAAGCUUUGCAUGACAAAAAAAGAACCAAUAAUACAUCAGAAAAUUUUGAAGUAUUGAGGCAAGUGAAGGUCAAUAUCCCUUUGCUAGACAUGAUCAAACAAGUGUCGACAUAUGAAAAAUUCUUGAAGGACUUGUGCACUGUAAAGAGAGGGUUGAAUGUGAACAAGAAAGCUUUAUUGACCGAGCAAGUGAGUUCCAUCAUACAGUGCAAGUCCUAGUGAAGUACAAAGAUCCGGGUUGCCGUACCAUCUCAGUGAGUAUUGGAAGGACUUGUGUGGAGAAAGCUUUGUUGGACUUGGGAGCAAGUGUGAAUUUGCUAUCCUACUCUGUCUAUAAGCAGUUGGGAUUUGGAGAGUUGAAGCCAAUAUCCAUCACUCUAUCUCUAGCGGAUAGAUCAAUGAAGAUUCCAAGAGGGAUGAUCGAAGAUGUCCUGGUUCAAGUUAACAAAUUCUACUAUCCAGUAGAUUUUGUUGUUCUUGAUAUGGAUCCGGUUGUCAAAUGAACUAAUUAUGUUCCUAUCAUACUUGGAAGACCCUUCCUAGCUACAUCAAAUGCAAUCAUCAAUUGUAGGAAUGGAGUCAUGCAACUCACAUUUGUCAACAUGACAUUAGAGCUCAACAUCUUCCAUUUGUACAAGAAGCAUAUCCAUCAGGAGGAAAAAGAAGGUCUAGAGGAAGUGUGAAUGAUUGACACUUUAGUGGAAGAGCAUUGUGAUCGAGAAUGCAAAAAGAUUUAGUUGAGAAUUUUGGGGAUCUUGAUGAAAGGUUACUUGAACCCUCAGAUUUGCUUGCUACCCUACUCCAUUGGAAGAGAAGAGAAGAAAUUCUACCCUUAUUCAAUGAGGAGGAGACGCAAAGAGCUGCAAAGGAGAAACCCCCAAAACUUAUUCUUAAGCCACUACCCACAGAGUUGAAGUAUGUAUACUUGGAAGAAGACAAGAAGUGCCCUAUUGUUAUAUCUUCAACUCUUACCAUUCAUCAGGAGGAUUGUCUACUUGAAGUCCUUAGAAGAUGUAAGAAGACAAUAAGGUGGCUAAUUUCUUAUUUGAAAGGGAUCAGCCCUUUAGUCUGCACCCAUCAUAUUUACAUGGAGGAUGAAGCUAAGCUAAUUCAUCAACCUCAGAGAAGGUUGAACCCUCACAUGCAAGAGGUGGUUCGAGCUGAAGUUCUGAAGCUACUUCAGACCAGUAUUAUUUACCCCAUAUCAAAUAGCCCAUGGGUGAGUCCUACUCAAGUUGCGCCAAAGAAGUCUGGGAUCAUGGUGGUGCAAAAUGAUAAGGGAGAAGAUGUCUCUACACGCCUCACUACAGGUUGGAGGGUGUGUAUCAAUUACAGGAGGUUGAAUGCAGUGAUAAGAAAGGACCAUUUCUCAUUGCCCUUUAUUGAUCAGGUGCUUGAGAGGGUCUCUGGGCUUUUUUUUUUAUUGUUUCUUGGAUGGCUACUCCGGGUACUUUCAGAUAGAAAUUGAUGUUGAAAACCAAGAUAAGACCAUUUUCACAUGCCCAUUUGGAACCUAUGCAUAAAGGAGAAUGCCUUUCGGCUUAUGCAAUGCACCCGCAACUUUCCAAAGAUGCAUGUUAAGCAUUUUCAGUGAUAUGGUGGAGCGUAUUAUGGAAGUCUUUAUGGAUGAUAUCACCAUUUAUGGAAGUGCAUUUGAUGAAUGCUUGGUCAACUUAGAAGCUGUUCUGAACCGAUACAUUGAGAAAGACUUAGUGCUUAACUGGGAGAAGUGCCAUUUCAUGGUACACCAAGGGAUUGUCCUUGGGCACAUUAUCUCCAAGCAAGGCAUUGAAGUUGACAAAGCAAAGGUUGAACUCAUUGUUAAGUUGCCAUCCUCAACAAAUGUCAAAGGAGUAAGGCAAUUCUUUGGCCAUGUCGGGUUCUAUAGGAGGUUUAUCAAGGAUUUCUCUAAGCUUGCAAGGCCUCUUUGUGAAAUAUUGGUGAAUGAUGUUAAAUUCAUAUGGGAUGAUGGAUUUGAAAGGAGUUUUGAAGAAUUGAAGCUAUUUUUGACAACCGUACCAAUAGUGAGGGCUCCCAACUGGCAACUGCCCUUUGAAGUAAUGUGUGAUGUCAAUGAUUUUGCUAUAGGAUUUUUUCUUGGGCAAAGAGAAAAUGGAAAACCUUAUGUGAUCUACUAUGCGAGGAAGGCAUUGAAUGAGGCACAAAGAAACUACACAACCACCGAGAAAGAAUUGUUAGCUGUAGUUUUUGCCUUGGAUAAGUUUCGCGCUUACUUGGUGGGGUCCUUCAUCAUGGUUUUUACUGAUCACUUUGCUUUGAAGUAUCUGUUGACUAAGCAAGAUGCUAAAGCAAGGCUGAUUAGAUGGAUUCUCUUACUUCAAGAGUUCAAUCUCCAUAUCAAAGAUAAGAAAGGAGUGGAGAAUGUGGUAGCAGACCACAUUUCAAGGCUAGCUAUCGCACAUAAUUCCCAUGCUUUGCCCAUUAAUGACGAUUUUCUAGAGGGGUCUCUCAUGUUGGUGGAAGUUGUCCCUUGGUACGCUCACAUUGCUAACUACCUGGUCACGGGAAAAGUUCCAAGUGAGUGGAAAGCACAAGAUAAGAAGCACUUCUUUGCAAAAAUUCAUGCCUACUAUUGGGAAGAGCCAUUUCUAUUCAAGUAUUGUAUGGAUCAGAUAAUAAGGAAGUGCGUUCCUGAAGAAGAGCAACAGGGGAUCCUUAGUCAUUACCAUGAAAAUGCAUGUGGAGGCCACUUUGCUUAUCAAAAGACAGCCAUGAGGGUGUUGCAAUCGGGUUUCUGUUGGCCAUCACUUUUCAAAGAUGCCCACACCAUGUGCAAGAGUUGUGAUCGAUGCCAGAGGCUUGGGAAGUUGACACGCAGGAACAUGAUGCCUUUGAACCCCACUUUAAUAGUUGAUAUUUUUUAUGUUUGGGGCACUAACUUCAUGGGACCUUUCCCUAUGUCUUUUGGCUACUCUUACAUCUUGGUAGGAGUAGAUUAUGUUUCUAAGUGGGUUGAGGCAGUCCCAUGCAAACACAAUGACCAUAGAGUGGUUCUCAAGUUUCUUAAAGAGAAUAUCUUCUCAAGAUUUGGGGUGCCCAAAGCCAUAAUUAGUGAUGGGGGUACUCAUUUUUGCAACAAGCCUUUUGAAACUCUCCUAGCCAAGUAUGGGGUGAAGCAUAAGGUAGCUACACCUUACCACCCUCAAACUCAUGGACAAGUUGAGUUAGCAAACAGGGAGAUUAAAAACAUAUUGAUGAAGGUGGUGAACACAAACAGAAAAGAUUGGUCAGUCAAGCUUCUUAAUUCACUAUGGGCAUAUAGAACAACUUACAAGACCAUUCUCGGGAUGUCUCCUUAUCGCCUAGUUUAUGGCAAAGCAUGCCAUCUCCCUGUGGAAUUGGAAUACAAAGCUUGGUGGGCAAUCAAGAAGCUCAACAUGGAUUUGAGCAGAGCUGGGUUGAAGAGGUUCUUAGACCUUAAUGAGAUGGAGAAAUUGAGAAAUGAUGCCUACAUCAAUUCAAAAAUUGCAAAAGAAAAAUUGAAGAGGUGGCAUGAUCAGUUGAUUUCCCGCAAGGAUUUUCAAAAUGGACAAAGAGUCUUACUUUAUGACUCUAAACUCCACAUCUUUCCGGGCAAGCUGAAAUCAAGGUGGAUAGGUCAUUUUACCAUUCACCAAGUGCAUUCAAAUGGAGUAGUGGAACUACUCAACUCCAACAAUAUCGAGAACUUCAAAGUGAAUGGCCACCGUCUCAAGCCCUUUGUGGAGUCUUUUUCUCACAACAAGGAGAAAUUCAUCCUCCUUGAUCCACAUCAAGCUUAACAAGACCAAUUUUCUUGAUGGACUUAGUCUUUCUAAAGACUAUCGAGUCCAUAACUUUUUGUUUUAUUUUUUAUUUGAGAUUUUUUCGGUAUUGUUACUUGUUUUGUUUUUUAUUUUUCGUUUUAAUUUUAUUUGGUUUGAUUUAACUUAGGUUUUUGAUGAUCAAUUACAGGGGGGAUUUCAAAUAGAGGAAAAACCAAGAUAAUUCGCACACCCUACGAAAAUUUCGCAAGGCAUGCGAAAUUUAUGGCUUAUUUUGCAUGGGGUGAAAAUUUUCGUACAUCUUACGAACCAAUUUCGAACACUUUGCGAAAAUAAACCAACCCUGCGAAAUCAUUUCGAUUACUCUACGAAAUUUUCGUAGAGCAUGCGAAAAAUUUAGCACACCAAACACCAUUUCGCAUACUAUGCAAAAACCUAAGGGGUCUGCGAAACCAUUUCGCACCUCCAAAUCCAUUUCGCACAUUGUGCGAAAACCAAGAGGCGCUGUGCGAAAAUGAAAAGUCGCCCUGUCAUCCCUUUUUAAACCCCUCGAGCCCUAAAAUCUCCAUUUCGCAAGCACCCCUGUCCUUGCGAAUCCCUCAUUUUCCUCUACUACCUUGCAACCUCGUCCCUUUCCAUUUGAUAUUGUGCCCCGCGCACAUCUCAUUUCAGAGACUCGCACUCCGCGCCCCCUCAAAGCAUGGACUCGAGACCCACCUUCCAUUUCCGACGUGGCACGGACCCAAGGAGCCCUUUCUGCCCCUUCACUAAGACACACACCAAGGCAGAAAGCCUCCUUUGCUCAAGUGCCUAGUGAUUCUCCAUCUUAGGCCUCAGAGGCCUCGGAGGCCCCGUGGAUUCCACCUUCCGAGGGUAGAGCAGCCAUUGGUCCUUCCUCUUCUACUCCUUAGCGUAGAUACGAGACGAGGAGACCACCUACUACACAAGGGGCGACUACUUCGAGCCUUGAGAAUUCAGUACGAUGCCUUCCUGCCAAGAGGGUCAAGACUUCAGGUCCAAGUGAGUCAUCCAGAGCUUCAUAGCCUAAGCCUCCUGUAGAUUCCAAGGUUCCUACUGACAUAUCACCGGAGUCUAUUAUCAGAAGCCCGAUGCUCAUAGCACCGCCCAUUGAGGGCAACUCAGAUUAUAGAGCGAGAUCUUUCCACUUGGAGCUAUAUUUUGAUCAGGAGGCCAUACGACAGCAGCCUGAGCUCCGAGACUCUUAUGGCUUACUGCAGAGGUACCAUCUUGAGGAACUUAUGACUCCUCGUGAGUUUUUUUAUCCCAGAGUAGCACUAAACUUUUACCAGUCCAUGACUACUCGUGGCGUCCCGAGUCCUACCACGAUUCACUUCACCAUUGAUAGACGUCAUGGUAUCCUCAAGGCCAGACAUAUUACAGAGGCUCUACAAAUUCCUUUCGAGCUAGAGGAUCCAUCUGUUUUUCGCUAAUGGUCCCCAGUAUCUCAGAGGGACAUGGUCCGUAUUUUAUCUAGGGGAACAUCUACAGAUUCGAUCUUUCUACGGAAGGAGCUUCGACCUGGGAUGCUCCUCUUAGAUGUGGUGCUAUGCUCCAACCUCUUUCCCUUACAACAUUCGGUACAUAGGUGAUGAGCUAUUUUGGACGCUUUAUUCCGUAUAUCAGAGGGCUUCUACUUUGGCCCGCACCACUUGAUCAUGGUCUCCCUCAUCCACUUUGAGGAGAAGGUUCAUAGGAAGAAGCUUCAGAGGGUGGACACCAUUCCAUUACUAUUCCUGAGGUUACUUUGCCAGGUCUUGGAGUACAUGGGCUUUCCUACUGAGCCUCGGCUCGAGCUUUGCCGCCUUUGUCGAGAGUGAUCCACUCUCGACAAAUGGAAUUAGUUGGCGGGCUAUUCUGCACCUCCAGGAGCCCCUCCCAUGGUAGCACCUCCAAUGUCCCCACAGGCAAAGUAGGGCGAGCUCCCGGCAAAGACUGUACCACCAAUGCCCACACUUGAGGCUAUUUCUGCUGCUCUGCCUAUGACUCCUACUGUUCCACCAGUUGGUCCUUUUACAUCCGAGCCUUCCAUCACCAUCUCGGCUUCGGAGUUUCGCGCCCUUGUGCAUACCUUUCAGACACUCACCACCACACAUACUCCUCUCUUCUAGCAAAUGGUUGAGAUGUGUGCCCAUCAGGACCGGAAGACUACUAUACUCUGCCAAAUUCAGCAGCACCUAAGACUUUUGCCUCAACCUCAACCUAACCAUCCCAUAUCAUCAGAGCCUCUAGCUCCAACUGAGGAUACUAUUCCACCUGAGAACACUACCACAGUAGAGGUCCGGUUUCCACCACCUUAAGAGGCCACCACAGCUACAUCAGAGGAUGUGUCAUCUCCACUUGAGGCUCCCACUACUUGAUCAUAGGACAUAUCUUUAUCUUAUUGUAUUUACAUAUUAUAUUACUAGAGAUUUGUCCUUGUUUUGAUACUUUAUAUUCUGGGAUUGGAUGUAUUGCCUGAUGAUAUCUCAAUUGUACUUUCUCAUAUUAAUAUAUAGACAUCAAUUUUUUUUAGUAUACUUAGCAUUUUUCUAUUUCCUCUACUCAUUACUCUUUUGUUUUUUUUUACUCAUGUGGUUUCUCUUAUACAACUCAGACUCCAUUUCACUCAGGAGGUACCACUUCCUCCCUUUAUUUUCAAUUGCUCUUGAAAUAUUGAGUGCAAUGUUGAUCUUGGUUGGGGGGAGAGUUGAGGAAGGAAGUUUUGUUAAUAAUGCUAGGUUAAUUUGUUAAUUUAGUUACUUUCUGCUUAAUUUUAAAAGUUUUCACUCUACUUUCCAUGGUUAUUAAGGAAAAAUUCUCAAAAUGAAAUGGGAGAAAUCGAAUUCUUGCAUUUUUACUUGAAUCUUAGAAUUUGUAUCAUGCUUAUUAAAGUUGAUGAAUUAUUGAAACUCCUAUUGAAUUCAACCUUAUUUUUUCCACUUUAAUCUUACCACACACGGUGCACAUUAGGUUCCAGUUAUAAGAUAAAAAACUAUCUCACCCCCUAAACUUAGAAAAAUUUACACUUGGUACCUUUGACAUCGUUUUAAUAGUGUUGGGACACCUUAUAAAAGGCCAAUGAGCCUUUAAAAAAAAAAAAAAAAAAAAAAAGAGAAAGAACAAAGUAUUGCACUUGCCUUGAAACCUGAGCAAGAUCCGAGGGGUAUACAGUGAAAGUCUUUAAAACCUGGUGCCCUAAGCCUUGAUUGGUUGGGAGUCACCGACCUCAAUGCUCGUUAUAAGGGUGAAUAGGUGGAGUUUAACAUAUUGUAGGUGCUUGGGUAUUGAAUUUCAAUCUCAAAAGUCCGGGAAAAAAUCUAAGGAGUUAGUGGUCAAAAGAUCCUUAAAGCUUGAUGCCCUAAACCUUGAUUGGUUGAGAGUCAUUGAUGGAUCCCCGCUACAUGGACAUUUUAGAAAACAAUACCUUUAGCAUUGCACGCCUACAAUGAAAAAAAAAUGUGAAAUAAAAGAGGUGCGUUCUUAGCCUAUUGGAGGUUGGUCAGUUUGCUAAAGUUUGAGAAAUCUAGGUUGGGGGGAGAGAAUAGUCCGACAUACUAUAAUAAAAAACUAAUAACCUUAACACUUAGAUUUUUGUGGAAGAGUAAGGAUUGGACCUUUAGGGGUGGAAAUUCUUUUGAUGCUUAAAUUUGCAUAAUGCCUACUCUUUAUAAAUUAUGAUUAGGCAAGAGAUUUGAUGACUCUUGUUCAAAGUUGGGUUUUUCCUCUUUGAUGUUCCAUGAGAGAGUAUAAUCCUCAUCAUGCCACUUGAAAUCUUUUUGGAGUGAUUAACAUGAUUUUGUAAAUUAUUUUACUGUCUAUUUUUCUUUAUCUCUCUUUUAUUGCUAAUGGACUAGCAAUAUGUCAGUUGGGGGGAGUGAUUACUACUCAAAAAGUACUCUUUUAUAGCUUGAAACUAACUGUUUUAAACACUUUUGAGUAGGUGUUAAUACAUUUUAACUCAAUUGGCACAUUAAGGAACCUAACAAGGGUUACUAAUAAGUUUUUGGCAAGUUUUGGUGUUUUUGGUAGCUAUUUGAUCAUUGAAACAAGCCAAGAAUGAGGGAGAAUUUUGUGAAGUCCAUAGCAAUGCAAGUUAAAGCUCAAAUACAUGAAGAAUCCAAGCUUUGAAGCACUUCAUAGCCCUUUGCGAAGCCAAUCAGAGAUGCAAGGAAGAAAACCAGAGGAAAAAAUCCAACAACCAGCAUUUUCGCAUGGCUGUGCGAAAUUUUGCACACCAUGCGAAACCACAAGAAGUAGCCAAAGAAUUUUGCACACCAUGCGAAAUUUCGCAUGGUAUACGAAAUCUUCCUAUGCACCAACUCCGUUAUAUUUUUAUCUUCAGAUAUUUUGUGUAAUUUCCUAGUUUCUCCUUGUAACCAACCUAGAUAUUUUCUUUUAUAUCUUUUUUUUAUAUUUUUUAGGUAACAUCAUAUAUAGGGGGAGAGACAUAAGGAGGAUAUGGAUGUUUUUCAUAAAACACUUUUAAUUUUCUGGUAGUAAGAAAUAUACAAAGUUUUUUGCUCUGCCUUACCUUCUCAUUUUGUUUUCACCUAUCUUUCUAGCCAAACAACCUCUGAGAAUGAUUUCUCAGGGGAUGAGUAGUUAGGUUUUACGUUUCUUGGAGUGAGAGAAGCUAGGUGAAAGACCCAAAUGCUAAGGUGGGAGUUGUCCUUGCUUUAAAUGAAAGUAGUUGUUAAAUAUUAAUGGUUUUUAUUUUAAGGUUUAGCUUUAAAUCCCUUAAAAACACCUUGAAUGGCCAAUACUUGGUAAGCUUUUCGGAUUCUAUGGAUGCUUAUUGCUAGAUCCAUGGAUGUCAUUAGUUAUCAUUUAUGAGCCAUUGGAAGGUGGUUCAAGAUGAGAGUCUUUAGUGUUUGAAGCCAUUAAUGGGAAACAAUUACCAUUUUUUCAUGAAUCCUUUGGAUAAAAUCUUAAUUGCUAAAUAUAAAACUGGUUCGGGAGAUAACCAUCCUUUAUGUUAUUAUGCCCAAUGCAAGGAGAAGAUUUCGAAUCUUCUCAUUUGUCUAAGGAACCCGAUCCUAGUGACCUAAAGCUCCUAGAGACCUUUUCUUUGUAGUUAACUUCAUUUAUUGUUUUUGCUUAACUUAAAAUCAAUCUUUGCAACCACAAUUCCAUUUUCUUUAAAAGCUAAUUUUUAUAAGGAAAAGCACCAUUUUAUUUCCUUCACUAAGUCAACUGUAUGAUGAAAACCCAUCCCUGUGGACGAUCUUAGAGCCACUAUACUAUGUUAUCUAUGCUAUCCUAGUGUGAGGUGAUUUAGGUUUUAUAAAUUUUGUUGAUAACACCCGUCUGAGCCAGAAUCAAAUGGAACCACUGAACCAGGGACAAAUCAACAGCCUAUAUGGGAGGGACACAAGUUUAAUUGAUUUGCAUUUCAGCGUUAUAGAUAAGUAUGUUUUGGAAGAUUUGUUCUGGAAAUACUGCACCAAGUACGAUUCUUUUUCUCUUGAGUGAGUCCAUUUGCAUGCCAAUUAACGAGUUGAAAAGUAGGAGCACCUACCUCGUGCUCAUGGAACCGAAUGUCAGUGAAGUGGGGCUCCUUUUAGCCUCUUGUGUUUCUGUUCCAACCAAGGCGGCGUAGGGAAAAACAACAAUAUGUCUGUGCUAAAUAUCAACGCAUGAUAGAUGUUUUUUUUUUUUUUUUUGGUAUGUCAAGGCUAACGAAUGAAAUGCAUUAGCUUGUUUUGUGACUAUAACUGCAAAUGUCCAAAUUGGAGUAUCUCCAUUUCUCACUUCGGAUGGUUAACUUUAUAAACAAGAUAUAGGAAACAUGUGAACAUCUUGAGGAACAAUUCAAAUUAUUCAUUAGAAGUCCUGGGUUAAGUUCCAAGAUUUAAAUCAGACCCUUCUAGCAGCUUCAAGGGUACUUAGCAACCUAUAACAUAUUAAUGAAGAUUUAGGAUUUAGACUCCGGAAUACAAAUAAAUAUGUAUCUCAUGCUUUGACUAGCUUCCCUACAUAUGCAUAAAAUGGAGAUGACCCAAAAAAAAUAGCAGAAUCUAGCUUCCCUACAUAUGCACAAAAUGGAGAUGACCCAAAAAAUAGCAUAAUCGCCUUAGUUUCUGUGGUUAAGGUGAUUCUCCGCUUAAUAUCCACAUUGACUCAUUAUGCAAAAUCAACUGAGCUAAUUUUAUUUAUUUAUUUAAUGUCAAAUAGGAACUCCUAAUUAACUGAUUACUGUCGAAAAGUGCUAUUUUGUAGACCUAAUUAUAAGGGUUUUAAGCACCUUUGAGUAGUAAUCAUAUUCAUUUAACCUAAUUAAUUCAUUAAGCUCCUUAGUAAUUAGUUCUAACCAUUUUUAGUGGCAAGUUUACAUGUUUUUCAUCAGCUUAUGAACCAAUUCAAGCAUGCCAAUUGAUGGAGGAGCUACUUGGGCGAGUUAAGCAAGGAUUUUGGACGUUUACAGGCUUGAAUUUCAAGUGGAAACACGAGCACAAGCAAUGGGAACACCAUUUCGCAAGGGGAGGCAAUUCACCUUGCCAAAUGACCAAUUUCGCAAGGGGAUUUUCCUCAUGGUGCAAAAUUUGGUCAUUUCGCACCAUGAAGAAACCACCUUGCAAAAUUUCGCAAGGUGGAUUUAGGCACCUUGCGAAAUGCCAAAUUUCACAAGGUGGCUUUUCACCUUGCGAAAUUUGGACCUUUCAUCUUCCCCCCUUGCGAAAUGCCUUUGAAAUCCCCUGUUUUGAGACGCUGUUGAUGAUAUUCCACUGCCGGUUCUCCAAGAUAUUUUGCUUGACUUUUAGCUUUAUAAAUACCUAUUUUACCCUUGUAAUCAACCAAUGAAAAGGUUGCUUUUGUAAUAGCUCUUGUAAUUUAGCUUUUUAUUGUCUUUAAAUAGAGGUGAAGAGCCUCAGACACGAUCAUCUUGUAACCUGUAACUUUAUAAGUUAUAAGAGCACUUUUGUUCAUACGCUUCUUUUCUCUUUUCUUUCUCAUUUUCUUAGUAGCCAAACAUCCUUGGAGGAUGAAAUCCCCAAGGAUGAGAGGCUAAAACCUUUUAGUUUCUUGAAGUAAUGGAUGCCAUGUGAAGCUCCCGUGUCAGGAUGGAGAUUUCCAAGCCAUAAAUGUAAGUAGCUGAGCGUCAUAAAUGUUUUCAUUCAAAGUAAAGCUUUUAAUCCCUCUGACUUGCUUUGAAUGGCCAAUACUUGAUAACCUUUUGGUCUCAAUGGAUUCUUAUUGUUAGAUCCACUGACGUUCAUUAGUUAUCUCCUACGAGCCAUUGUAUUGCAAGUCGAGGAGAUGACCUAUACCAAUAAAAGAGCAUUUAUGAGGUUCAACUACCCUUUUUGUAAGUUUUCAAGGACUAAAACUCAGUUGUUAAACUCAUACCGGUUCGAGAAGUAAGCAUCACCUUAGUUGCUUCCCCAACUCGAGGUGAAAAGUCCCAAAAUCUCCAUUUUUACACAGUGAGUUAAGCAUGGCUAUCCAAAGCUUUAAGAAACUUCUUUUUCCAUCUUUUAACCUAUUUUCAUGUUAGUUUAGUUUACAACACCUUCAUCUUUUUAUGUUUUCAUCUUAACCUAAUUUUUAUUAAGAAAAGUUCACUCCAUCCUCCGAACUUCACCAGUUAAAGUAAAAACCCUUCCCAGUGUUCGAUCCUAGAGCCACUAUGCUAUAGUAGCUUUGCUACUUUAGUGUAAGGACCUUAGGUAUAAAUUUUGUUGAUACCCUUACAUGCCAAGCUACCAAGAGUCGGGUUAUCAUUAACCUAACCAUUGGCCUGUGUAAAUUGAUUUCACAUGCACAAUGUUGUAGUAGAAGUCCAUAUUUUGAAUUUUAUUUUUGUAAAGGUAAGGAAAAUGAAGCAUUGUGUAAUUAUAAAAAUAACUUCAUUGGAAUUCACAAGGUUCACCCAAAAUGGAGCUACAUCUGUAUUCUAUCCUACAGUAGACUAUAUAGAUUGUACAAUAGUAAAUUGCAAAUACAAUUAAUAAGUCUUGUGCUUCCUUACUAAUAAUCCUUUGACAUGAACAUUGCAGCACUAAGGUCCUCUUGGGAAGACACCUUGCACCCAUGAGAGCACUAAGAGGAAGCAAGGCAGAGUCAUGGGUGCAAUGUCAUGACUUGUUGUUGCACCAAGAGAGGCUUGGUGAUGCCAUGGUGUUGCAGUAGCAAGAAUGUUGCCUUGGCAGGGACACGAUCUAGGGAUAGAUGCCAAGAAAGGCUUAGCACUCACAUGAGUUGCACAAAGAUGAAUGUAAUAGAGCAUCAGAGAGACGUCUUGGCAAGUAAAUGAAUGGAUCCAAGAGACAACAACAUGAGGAGUUUCAAAUGGAUAAGGAAUGACUCAAAGACAUUUGAAAGCUACAAGUUGGAUUCUAAUUACGAUUGCAAUUUGAGUUUGAGUAGGAGUUUAGAUUUUGAUUGUAAUUGUAGUAUGAGUUGGACUAGGAUUGCUUAUCCUUAGUCAAUAUAGGAGCGGUUCGUGUCACCCUAUGAAAAGAGUUUGAGUAGGGACUAGGAUUGCUUACUCCUAGUCAAAUAUGGAGUAGGUGGUGCCACACCUAUAAAAAAAAGGGACAACAUGAGAGAGAGAGAGAGAGAGAAAGAGAGAGUGAAUUCACUAAAGAUAUUGUGGGAGUUUUGCUUUGUUACGUCUUGUAUUAUUACUUAGAAUAGGAAUAAAAUACAAGUUGGGGCUAGAGCCCCAUAAUUAAUCUCGUGUGCCUUUGUGGUUAUUCUUUAUUUGUCAUCUCGUGUGGAUUGGAUUAGGUUGACUUAGAGGGCUUCUAAGCACCACCUUUGUGGGUUAUUAUUUAUUUUCCAUCUCUUGUGGAUUAGAUUAGGUUGACUUAGAGGGCUUCUGAGCACCACCUUUGUGGGUUAUUAUUUAUUUUCCAUCUAUUGUGGAUUAGAUUAGGUUGACUUAGAGGGCUUUUAAGCACCACAUUUGUGGGUUAUUCUUUAUUUUCCAUAUCGUGUGGGUUGGAUUAGGUUGACAAGGAGAAAAAUUAUGUGGGAAAUUUGUGUUGGGACACUUACCAUAACCAAGUAAAAUCUACCAAGUCCUUUGUAAUAUCUUCAACAAAUAUUUUAGACUAGUUCUUUCAGUUAGUGUAAAGGAGGAAGAAGUGGUAUUGAUUCUAGAAAUAGGGUGUGUGUAUUUGAACUACAAUCCUUAUGAUCCUUAGGUCUCUAAACCUUCGUGAUGGGCUCCCUGACAUUUCAUAGGUUGUGCUACACAUGCGUUUGAAAUUUAGAGUGCGUUUGACAGUGAUUCCGGGAAGUGUUUUUGGCCUUUCUUACACUUGAAAAUUUUUAUUUUUCAAGUAUUAGAAAUGCUACAAACACUUUUGAAAAUUACUGUCAAACACACUCUUAGGAGCGCACAUAUAUAGUAGAAAACUAGAAAUUGUGGUUUUUUUAGGAUUUACUGUAAUGUCAUUAGGAGGGUAGUAAGUUGAAAUUGAGUAUGAACAAAUAUUUCUUUCUUUGGGAUGUUCUUCUAGUAGGUGCUGAUGAAACUGUUCUUUCUACUGCCAAUGUCACAUAUCAGCCAGAAAUUGAAAAUUUCAGUCAAGGUGUCCUCUGUUUUAGUGGUGAGGAAAGCUAGAAAUUUUAAGGUGAAGUUUUGUUAAAAACCUUAAGUAGCUGGGAUAUCAGGCCUGUUUUGCUUGAAAAAAAAAGUUGCAAGAUAACUCAUAUGCCAAACAGGUUCUGAUAUUGUGAAUCUAUCGGCAGACAUCAGUAAUCUCAUCUUCUGAGAUGGAUGUUGGGGGUGCAUGUGGUGGUGGAGGGGCAAGGUUUCAUUUGGUUUAUUUUGUUGAUGGAUAUUGUCUAGCCACCUGCGCCAAGUUUGAGGGGUGGUGGGUUGUGAUGACCCUACAAUUACUAUUAAUUUCUUCAUCUUUUACCGAUUAAAGUGUCCGAACAGUCGAAGUUACCCUUAUGCAUGUCAACUUGAUCACUUACCUCUUCAAUGGAGUUUAUGCUGGUUCAUUUAGGAACUGAUUUUUAUUGUUAUGUAUUAUAUGCUGAUGUUUAGGUCUCUCCAUCAUCACUAUAUACAAAAAUUCUAGGUUGAUACUAUAGGUUGAGAUUUAUUUUUUAAAUAAAAAAUAAUAAAAAUAAAAAUUAUGGUGAUGUUUAGUUGUUUUAUGGAAAAUUUUAACAAGUAAAAGUUAUUUUUGGGCAAGUUUUCAAACAAAAAGAAAAGUAAAAGUUGUUUUGACAAAAACAUAUAGAAAAAAAAAUCAUAGAAAAUAAAUAAUUUCCCCAUAUUCUAACUUUUUUGAAUUUUUCUCAAUGGGCAAAGGAAUAUCAAAUCAAGUUUGAGUAGGAUUUCUUAAUUUUUAAAAUAACUUACAAUUAAAAAAUUUUGGUGUUUUCAUUUUUGGACAAUUUUUUAUUAAGCAAAUGGACUCUGAGUCAUGCAAGAGAUAUGGUUCAUUAACCGGUCGAACAAUUUUUUUAAAUUAAUUUAAAAGUCAAAUACAUAAUCAAUUUCACAAAAUUUAUAAACAAAAAUAGGUUUAGAGAAGAUCUACACAUAAUUUUACUUUUCUAAUUUUAUUUUAUUUUAUUUUUUGUUGGAAAAUAGUCUUCAAAUCAUGUAAGAUUUAAUAGGUUAAAUUUGUUAACAAUAAAUUUUAAAUUAUAAAAUAUAAUCUGGAACUCAAAAAUCAAUUCAAGUAAUGCUAAAAAAAAAUCAAAUUUGGUAUAGAAUGACUUUGUAAAUUUUUUUACAAAACAAAUGAAUUUUAAAUCAAGUGAGAUUUAAUGCAUUAGAUUUUUAUCAAAUAUAGUAAUUUUAAAAAUAAAUUUGGAACUCAACAAUAGACACAAUAAAUACCAAAAAAUAAUGAACCAAAAUUGGUUUGGAAUAACUCCACAACCUUUUUUUUUUUUUUUUGGUGCACACGAAUUUUCUUACUAGGUAUAUUGCUUUCAAAUUGAGAAAGAUUUACCAUUUAGAUUUUUUUUUAAUGAGUUUAAUGGUAUUUUAAAAUAAUUCAAAAUUUAAAAAAUUGACUAAUUAAUAUUAUAAAUUGAUAAACCAAGACUAUUUCAAAAUGCAUUGGGGGCUAAGGGGGUUGAAAAUAGGGACAAUGGGAUGGGUUUGGGACAUGACACUCAUAUCUCAUUUCCAUUCCAAUUACACAGUUAUCUCCCAUCCUUAUCCCAAACUUGUGUUGGAGCAAGUUGAUUUGUUCCCAUCUUUGUUGACGAAAUGACUAAUAACCUCAUCCCCUCCUUAUCUUAGAUGUACAUUUUGUCAAAUUUGAUCAGGUAUGAUUGAUCCAAGCCCUAACCCUAAUUGGUAAUGAGUGAAUACUACACCUAAUUGCAUUCUUCUUUCAUUGCAAAAUAAUGAGAUUAUAAUAAUCUAGCAAAUAAGAAAAAAUAGUAUGGAAGUUCAAAUUAACACCAUAACUAUCAAUAAUUUUAAGCUUAUAGAUGACUUAAAUGAUUAAAAACUAAUGCAAAAUCCUAAAAAAAAUAAAAAUCAUAUAAAGAAUUCACAAGAGAACAGAAUGAACAAAAACCAAAUAUGAACAUGGGUCAACAUUAGUUAUGGAUUUGGAUUCCUUUCAAGGCCAAUCUUUGAACCAAGACUUCAUCAAAUCAACUACUUCAAAGGCUUUUGUGUUCUUCUUGGGUUGUGCUCUCAAACAAAGACUUCGAGGUGAUGUUCUAGAUGAUUGAAUUACACAUAUUUAGGGUGGAGAGAUUGGAGAAGCUUGAAGAUGCCAACGAUGGGUACAAUUGAGUGGUCAAUAAGAACAAUGUAGCCUAUGACUAGUUUGAUGUCAUGGUACAAGAGUUUUAGGCAUUGAGGUUAAAGCAAGAGCAACAUGGAAUUGAUUUCGGAGUCUUUCAGUUAGUGUAAAGGAGGAAGAAGUGGUGUUGAUUCUAGAAAUAGGGUUUUAAGUGGUGCGUGAUUACUACUCAAAAAGUGCUAUUUGAUAGCCUUUAAUUAAUCCUUUUUAACACUUUUGAGUAGUAGUUUAGGCCUUUUAACUCAAUUGGCAUGUUAAGGAUCCUUUAAAGCAAUUUUGAUCACUUUGUGCAAGUUUUGGUGUUUUUGUUAGUAUUUUGAUCACCAAAGCAAGUCAAGAAUGAGGAGAACUAUGAGGAAUCAUGGGCAAAGCUUAGAAUUCAAUUGCCAAGAGUGAAUCCGGAUUGCAAGGAGAAAAAGCAAAGAGAAUCUGUCAUGAAGCCUAUUCUUGAUGACAGUCGUAGCAGCCACUUUUGGAGCACUUUCUGAAGUCCAAAUGAUGCAAGCUAUAUACCAUUUCAAAGAUCAGGAAGUCAACAAUCCAAUGCUUCAAACGGUGCGCGAUUCGGAGUUGAAACGAAGAAGUUGCAGCCAUUACAAGCCAGUCACUCUAAAGUGUUGCGGAAUCAGCCUUUUGUUGCGAGAAUUUCGCAGCACUUUUGUACAGUAAGGUGUUUCUCCUUCUGACGAUGCACGAACCAUGCCGCGAGAGGGAAGCUAGGAACUUCAAGAUGGAAGCCAACUUUGCAGCCUGGUGAAGAUAGCUUGGUCUUGCGAAAUAAUUUCGCAGCCCUCUUGGGUGUCUGCGAAAUUUCGCAGGCACCACUUUUUUCCUGCGAAAUGGCUCCGGAAGCCUCCCGAAGCUUGCUACCGACAUUGGGAGAUAUUUUCCAUUAGAUUUUUGUUGUCUAAAUUCCAAAAUACUCCUUGUAAACCACCAAUUACAUGAUUCCUUAGUUUUUAAGUUAGUAAAAAGACCAAAUAUCUAUGUAAUAAUUAGUUUUAUAUUAGUUUGCUAUAAAUACCUCUCGGGAGCAUGUUCUCAGAGAGGAGUUCCUUCUGUAACCAUUUUGGUAAGCAAGUAAAGUCUUUUCUUUCUACUGCCUUACCUUCUCACUUUGUAUUUUCAUUUUAUUUCUAAGUUAUGAAUUCUCUGAGGAGCUUUCCCCAGAGAAUGAGUAACUAAACCUCCAAUUCCUUGGAGCUAAGGUUGCCGGGGAAGGUUCCAAGUGCAAGAAUGCAAAGCUCUGUGGUUUUAGCUAGUAAUGAAGAGGAAGUGAAAUCCUUUAGUGAUUUCAAUGUUUUUAGUUAACUUAAAACACCUUGGAGUCACCUGGGCCAACACUUGGUAAGGCAAGUGAUUUCCAACCGUGGAAAUGCACUAGUUUACCCCUUGCGAGCCUCUGGUAGGUGACUUCAAGGUAGGAUUUUCUGGAAUUACCAACACUUGGUAAGCUUUUGGACUCCUAGGAGACAUCCAUUAGUUAUCUCUUGCGAGUUUGUGAAGGGGAAUCCAAGGUUAAAGAUCACCUUGAAUGGUAAGUGCUCGUGAGAGGCAUGAACCAUUGCAAGUUGUAUCAGUGAGAGAAUUAAAGUGAAAUCUAAUUGAAGGAGUCUCUGUACAUCACCGGUUAGAGAAUUGACUAUAAGUUGAAUCUCUAAUGCGAGGAAAUGAACCAUCUGACCGGAGCUAUGUCUUUUGCAUGAGGAACCACCCCAGUGAACCUAAAUCUCCAAGGAAUGCUUUUCUUCCUAAAUUAUUCCAAACUUCUGUUAAGUUAGUUAGUUUAAGUCUAAACCUUUACCAAUCAAACUUUGUGUUUUAUUUCUUAAGCUAACCGUGAAAUGAAACAAAACCAAUUCACUUGGAAUUGGUAUCCUUGAUUGCUUGCAAAUCAUUCCCAGUGAACGAUCCUUAGAGCCACUAUACUAUAGUAGCUUUGUAUUUGCUACCCUAGUGUAUGGUGUUAUAGGUAUAAAUUUUGUUGAUCACUUCCUCAAUCAAGGAACACCAGCUGAACACAAAUCAGCUGAGACACCAAUUGGGCAUGAGUCAAAUGGCGCCGUUGCCGGGGAAUGAGUGUCAAGAUCAUUGUGAUACCAUUUUUGAGCACUUGUGAUUUUCAUCACAAGUUGGUAAAGUUUCUUUCACUUUACUAAUUUUCAUUCUCUCUUUGUUUAUUUACAAUCUAAGUUUAUCUUUUUAAAAUUUAGUCUAGUUUAAUUUUGCUAUUGUAGCCUUGUUUCUCUUGUUGUCCUCUGUUCUUGUUGUCCUCUGUUUUCAUUUUAGUUGCAGCUGAAUACUAGUUGUGUAUGCCAAAGUGGAUACGAGACAUUGGAGGUAGGCUUAUUAAGUGUGAUACACCUCAGAGAGGAGAAUUGGAAGUAAUCUUGAAUAUCAUGGAGGCUGCACCUGAAGAUCAGCAUAGUCACCAAGGUCGUCAAGACAAUCUCAAUGAAUUCAGAUCAAUGAGGGACCGUAUGCAUCCACCUCGUAUGAGUGCACCAUCAUGUAUAGUGCCCCCUACAGAGCAACUAGUGAUCAGACCAUAUCUUGUUCCACUUCUACCAACUUUCCAUGGGAUGGAAAGUGAGAAUCCGUAUGCACACAUCAAGGAAUUUGAAGAUGUUUGUAAUACAUUCCAAGAGGGAGGAGCUUCAAUUGAUUUGAUGAGGCUUAAGUUAUUUCCUUUUAAUUUAAAGGAUAAGGCCAAAAUUUGGCUUAAUUCUUUAAGGCCAAGGAGUAUCCGCUCUUGGACUGAUUUACAAGCUGAAUUCCUCAAGAAAUUUUUUCCUACUCAUAGAACAAAUGGCUUGAAAAGGCAAAUUUCAAACUUCUCAGCUAAAGAGAAUGAGAAAUUCUAUGAGUGUUGGGAAAGAUACAUGGAAGCUAUAAAUGCUUGUCCUCACCAUGGCUUUGAUACUUGGCUACUGGUGAGUUAUUUUUAUGAUGGUAUGUCCUCCUCAAUGAAGCAACUCCUCGAGAAAAUGUGUGGAGAAGAUUUCAUGAGCAAAAAUCCAGAGGAAGCUAUGGAUUUCUUGAGCUAUGUAGCUGAUGUUUCAAGGGGAUGGGAUGAACCAACUAAAGGAGAAGUGGGAAAGAUGAAGUCUCAGUUGAAUGCUUACAAUGCAAAGGCUGGGAUGUAUACUUUAAAAGAGGAUGAUGACAUGAAAGCAAAGUUGGCAGCUAUGACAAGAAGAUUGGAGGAGCUGGAGCUGAAAAGAAUGCAUGAAGUGCAAGCUGUUGCUGAAGCACCAGUGCAAGUGAAGUUGUGUCCCAAUUGUCAAUCGUUUGAACAUUUGGUAGAGGAAUGCCCUGCAAUUUCAGCUGAAAGGGAAAUGUAUAGAGAUCAAGCAAAUGUUGUUGGACAAUUCAGGCCCAAUAACAAUGCUCCUUAUGGAAAUACCUACAAUUCAAGUUGGAGGAAUCAUCCAAAUUUUUCAUGGAAGGCCAGAGCAACUCAAUACCAACAGCCGGAUCCACCAUCUCAACAAUCUUCAAGUAUUGAACAAAUAAUAGCUAAUCUCAGCAAGGUAGUGGGAGAUUUUGUGGGAAAGCAAGAAGCCACCAAUGCUCGAGUGGAUCAAAGAAUGGACAGAGUGGAUCAAAGAAUGGACAGAAUGGAGAGUAUGUUGAACAAAAGAAUGGAUGGAAUGCAAAAUGAUAUGAAUCAAAAAUUUGAUAACAUCCAAUAUUCAAUUUCAAGGCUUACAAAUUUGAAUACACUGCAAGAAAAGGGAAGAUUUCCUUCUCAACCUAACCAAAAUCCCAAAGGUGUCCAUGAAGUGGAAAGCCAUGAGGGAGAAUCAUCACAGGUGAAAGAUGUGAAAGCUUUGAUCACUCUAAGGAGUGGUAAGAAAAUUGAGCAGCCAACACCCAAGCCACAUGUUGAGAAAGAAGAAGAGAUGAAGAAAGGGAAGGAAAUGGAAGAUAAAGGCAGUGAGAUCAGUGAAGAAAAGAAGGACUCUGAUGCAACAAUGAAAGUAAUUCCAGAGAAGGAGCUUCUGAAGGAAGAAAUGCUGAAGAAAUCAACUUUUCCACCUUUUCCUCAAGCAUUACAGGGGAAAAAGGGGGUUAGAAAUGCAGCUGAAAUCCUAGAAGUAUUGAGGCAAGUGAAAGUUAAUAUUCCACUGCUGGAUAUGAUCAAACAAGUUCCAACGUAUGCAAAAUUCCUAAAGGACUUGUGUACUAUCAAAAGAGGGUUGACUGUAAACAAGAAAGCCUUCUUGACUGAGCAAGUAAGUGCAAUCUUACAGUGUAAGUCUCCUUUGAAGUACAAAGACCCUGGAAGUCCUACCAUUUCAGUCAUGAUUGGAGGAAAGGUAGUGGAGAAAGCCUUGCUAGACUUGGGAGCAAGUGUGAAUUUGCUUCCAUAUUCUGUCUACAAGCAACUGGGACUUGGAGAGUUGAAGCCAACAGCAAUCACUUUGUCUCUGGCAGAUAGAUCAGUGAAAAUUCCAAGAGGGGUAAUUGAGGAUGUAUUGGUUCAAGUAGAUAAUUUCUACUAUCCUGUAGAUUUUGUUGUUCUUGAUACAGAUCCUACUGUAAAGGAAGCUAAUUUAGUUCCUAUCAUCCUUGGAAGGCCAUUUCUUGCAACUUCAAAUGCAAUCAUCAACUGUAGAAAUGGGCUUAUGCAACUCACUUUUGGUAACAUGACACUGGAUCUAAAUAUUUUCUAUAUGUCUAAAAAGCAAAUCACUCCAGAAGAAGAAGAGGGUCCAGAAGAGCUAUGUAUUAUUGAUACUUUGGUGGAGGAGCACUGCAAUCAACAUAUGCAAGAUAAGUUGAAUGAAAGUUUUGUGGAUAUUGAGGAAGGUUUUUCUGAAUCUCCUAAUGGGCUUGCUACUCUACAAAGUUGGAGAAAGAUAGAAGGAAUUCUACCUUUGUUCAAUGAAGAAGAGGAGGCAGCUGUUGAAAAAGAAAUUCCAAAACUCAAUCUGAAGCCUUUACCUAUGGAGCUGAAAUAUACAUAUCUUGAAGAAAAUAAUCAAUGUCCUGUCGUAAUAUCUUCAUCUCAAACCAAGUCUCAAGUGAAGGAUGCAAGCUUCAAAUGGGAUCCGGGCAAACUGAAUCAGGAAGGGCAAAAAGUUUUGAUGUAUGACACAAGACUCCAUAUCUUUCCUGGGAAGCUCAAGUCAAGGUGGAUUGGUCCAUUUGUUAUUCACCGAGUAUAUUCCAAUGGAGUGGUGGACUUAUUGAAUUCCAAUGGCAAGGACAGCUUUAGAGUCAAUGGAUAUCGUCUUAAGCCGUUCAUGGAGUCAUUCAAAUCAGAAAAGGAGGCAAUCAACCUCCUUGAACCUCAAAAAGCCUAAGUGAAAUGGGUUUGCUGGACGUGGUUUUACCACAGUCCAAAAAUUUUUGUAAAUUUUGUAAAUUUUCAAGUUGUUUCCAUGCUUUUAAUCUUAGUUUUUGAUUUUAAAUCAUGUUUUUAGGUGUGUUUUAAUCGUUUUAUAUGAUCCCAGGCGGAAGAAAUUUCAAGGGGAUUGAAAAGAAAAAAAUCGGGUCGAAAUUGGAGCCGAAACAGAGCAAAAACAGGGGAAAAACAGAGCUCUGCGAAAUUUCGCAGGGUGAAGGAAACUUCUGCGAAAUUGGCAUUUUGCUGCCAAACCAUUCCGCAGCACUGUAGAAGCCUCUGCGAGUGUAUUUCGCAAUUGCGAAAGUGGAUUUGGCACACGAGUGCCACUUCGCAGCACAGUGACAUCAAUUUCGCAGCUGCGAAACUCACUGCGAAGUUGCUGCGAAAAUGGCAAGUUGCUGCGAAAUUGGCGUUUUGUUGCGAAACGUAAUCUGACCCCUGGGCUUCCGUUUUUCCUAUUUAUACCUGUCAAAAGUGCUGCGAAAAAGGUUUCAAAAAUUAGAGCACCAUUCUCGCAGCCCUUUCAUCUUCUUCGCCAAGCCACGCCGUCCGUUUCUCCGGUCGUCUUCUCCGUUUAGCAGCGCCGGCCAAAGAUCGAUAGCCCAAAAAUGGCACGAACGCGAGGGGCAAAGUCUUCAUCCCCUUCGAACCGCAAAAGGAGUCUGCGAAAGGAGCCAAGUUCAGGCUCUGUUCCAGAACCUGCUCCAAAGCCUUCGCCGUCGAGACCACAACCUUCUCCAGUGAAGCCGGCGCCACCAAAGCCGCCGGCAAGGCGAUAUUUAACCAGGUCAGGUGGUCAGCCAUUGAAGAAGAAAGCCAGAGUUGAGAGCUCUGAACCAAUCGAUUUGACUGAGCAAUCCCCUGAGAAAUCACCAAAUCCUUCACCGGUACAAAUUCCAGUGCCAUCACCGGUUCCCUCGCCAAUUCCCUCACCAGAAGCAACUCCAAUUCCAUCGCCGGUACCAUCUCCGGCACCCCAAGAAAAAGCUCAGGAGCCUCAAGCGCCAAUUCCAGAGCCCCAAAUUGCAGCUGAAGCACCUCUGGAAGAAGUGAUCCGAAGGCCAAUGCUGCCUCAGCCCCCAAUCGAAGGAAACCUGGAUUGCCGAACUCGGGCAUUCCAUUCUGAGCUUUGCUUCGAUUUAACAGCAUUCAGAGUGAGGCCAGAGCUUGCCCAAUCCUUCCAACUGCUGAGGAGAUAUCAUAUGGAGCAUCUGCUAGCUCCAAGGGAUUUUUUCUAUCCCCGGGUAGUCACGGAUUUCUACCAAACCAUGACAACCAAAGAAGUAAGAAAUCCAACUCUGAUUCAUUUCAUAAUUGAUGGAAGGCAUGGUAUUUUGGGAGCAAGACAUAUUGCUGAAGCCCUGCAAAUUCCUUUUGAGCCAACUCAAUUCGACAAUUUUAAAGCUUGGACAAAUCCUACUGAGUUAGAGAUGGUUAGCACACUAACCAGAGGAGCUGCAAAUCGAUCGCAUUUGUUGAGGGGGGAGCUACCUCCAGUUAUGUUUUUGAUUGAUGCCUUUUUGAGGCAUAAUAUCUAUCCCCUGCAGCAUUGGACCCAAAGAAGGGGAAUUCUCCUAGAAGCCUUGUACAAAAUGUCUGAAGGAUUCUUCUUUGGGCCUCAUCAUCUGAUCAUGGCAGCCCUUCUAUACUUUGAGGAGAAGGUUCACAAGAAGAAGCUUCAAAGAGCAGAUUGCAUUCCACUCCUCUUCCCAAGGCUGCUAUGCCAAGUUUUGGAGCAUCUCGGAUACCCCUCUGAGCCUCAGCAGGAAAGAAAGAGAAUAUGCCGUGAGCCUUUUACCCUUGAUAAAUGGAAUAAUAUGACGGCCUACAAAAUUGAUCAGCCUGGGCAGCCUCAGCCAGCAGCAAGGAGAGUCUCCCCAAGACAUAUACCUGAAGGUAUAACACUUGCUACUCCUGCCAUCCCUCGAGCUCCACCAGCUGCACCUGCUCCAUCACAGCCAUCCACAUCAGCUGAGCCGAGGAUGGCCAUCCCUAUAUCCGAAUAUCGAGAGCUGUGCCGUGCAUUGGAGACUCUUACAGCUUCUCAGAGCAAUCUUGCUCAGGAGUUGGCAGCCAUUAAAGCAUGCCAGGAGCAGAUGUUAGCCUCUCAGACUCAACAAGCUGCCAUCCUAAGGCAGCUUCAAGUCCAUUUCGAUCUGCCACAAGCUGUAGAGCCCUCUAUUCCUACUCCACCAGAGCCACACUCUCAGCCUUCAGAGUCUCAUCCUCCAGAACCCGAAGCACCAGCUGAUCCACCUACUGAGGAGGCAGAUCCUUCUGCCUAGCACCAUCACCCCCCUCAUCAGACAUUAUAUAUAUAUUUGCUGUUUAUGUUUUUAUGCAUGUUUGUUUUGUUUUAGUUGAAAAGAAAUCCCAGUAUUUUGGUACUAUAUAUGGGAUUCCUUGUGUUACUUGUCUUUAGUAUUGUAAUCACAUGAACUCAAAGUAAUACAAGUUGACUAUUUCUUGUUAAAAGUUAGCAUUAAAGUUUCCUUAUUUCCUUUUCUCACAUAUUCUAUUCUUUUUGAAACAUGUGGUUUUCCCCAAUCAAUAUUCGAAUUUGAUAUCAGCAUGGAGGUACCACUUCCUCCCUUUUAUUACAGUCACUCAAAUCACAUUGAGGACAAUGCUCAGUUCGGUUGGGGGGUAUGAGGAAGGAAGUAUUCUAAACCUUUUUGGUAUUGCAAUUAUAUUGGUUAAUUAGUUGUAGAUUUUACUUUUUACUAGUGUUACUCUAUUCUCCAUGAAUUUUGAGGAAAAAUUUUCAAAUUAAACCAAGAGAAAUUGAACUGUUGUUUUUCACUUGACUUAGAGUAUGGAUUAUGCUUACUAAAGUGGUUCAAUUGUUGAAACUUCUACUGAAAUUGAAUUGAGUUCUUCCACUUUAAGCUAUCCACACACUGUGCACAUUAGUUUCCGAUUAUAAGAUGAAAAGCUAUUUCCCUCUUGACUUAGUAUAUUUUUGGGACUUGGUAUAUUUGACCUCAUUUGAUAAAAAUUGAAACACCCUGCAAAAGGCCAAUGAGCCUUUGAAAUAAAGAAAGUUGUUUGCUUGCCUUGAAACCCGAGCAAGGUCUGAGGGGUAUAUGGUGAAAAUCUUUAAAGCCUGGUGCCCUAAGCCUUAAUUGGUUGGGAGUCACCGACCUCAAUGCUCGUUACAAGGGUGAAUAGGUAGAGUUAGCAUAUGGUAGAUGCUUGGGUAUUAGAAAUUCAUUCUUAAAAGUCCGGGGAAAAAUCCGAGGAGUUAGUGGUUGAAAGAUCCUUAAAACUUGGUGCCCUAAACCUUAAUUGGUUGGGAGUCAUCGAUGGACCCCCAUUACAUGGACAAGUCAGAAAGAGUACCCCAUAAAGCUACCUUAAAAAAAAAAAAAAAAAAAAAAAAAAAAAAAAAGAUGAAAGUGUGUUCUUUUCUUAUUGAUUUUGGUCAGUUUGCUAAAGUGUUGAAAAGAGAUAGGUUGGGGGGUGAGAUUAGUAGCAUAUUAUUCUCGGAACCUAAGGAACCAAUACACAUAGAUUUUUGUGGAAGAUUGAAGUUUAGUUCUUAGAAAAUGAAAUGAUUUUAAAACUUCAGUUUGCAUAAUGCACUCCCUUGAUUGACAGUGUUUAGCAUAGGUGUUAUGACUCUUGUUGAGAUUUGGGUUUGUAUUUCUUUAAUGAUUCAUGUGAGAAAUAGAUCAUCAUGCCACUUGAGAAUUAUUUUCCUUUUAGCAUGAUGUUGUAAAUUUUAGAUUAGUUUGCUAUUUAUUUUUUAUUUUCUCUCCUAUAUUGCUAAGGGACUAGCAAUAUGUCGGUUGGGGGGAGUGAUUACUACUCAAAAAGUGCUAUUUGAUAGCCUUUAAUUAAUCCUUUUUAACACUUUUGAGUAGUAGUUUAGGCCUUUUAACUCAAUUGGCAUGUUAAGGAUCCUUUAAAGCAAUUUUGAUCACUUUGUGCAAGUUUUGGUGUUUUUGUUAGUAUUUUGAUCACCAAAGCAAGUCAAGAAUGAGGAGAACUAUGAGGAAUCAUGGGCAAAGCUUAGAAUUCAAUUGCCAAGAGUGAAUCCGGAUUGCAAGGAGAAAAAGCAAAGAGAAUCUGUCAUGAAGCCUAUUCUUGAUGACAGUCGUAGCAGCCACUUUUGGAGCACUUUCUGAAGUCCAAAUGAUGCAAGCUAUAUACCAUUUCAAAGCUCAGGAAGUCAACAAUCCAAUGCUUCAAACGGUGCGCGAUUCGGAGUUGAAACGAAGAAGUUGCAGCCAUUACAAGCCAGUCACUCUAAAGUGUUGCGGAAUCAGCCUUUUGUUGCGAGAAUUUCGCAGCACUUUUGUACAGUAAGGUGUUUCUCCUUCUGACGAUGCACGAACCAUGCCGCGAGAGGGAAGCUAGGAACUUCAAGAUGGAAGCCAACUUUGCAGCCUGGUGAAGAUAGCUUGGUCUUGCGAAAUAAUUUCGCAGCCCUCUUGGGUGUCUGCGAAAUUUCGCAGGCACCACUUUUUUCCUGCGAAAUGGCUCCGGAAGCCUCCCGAAGCUUGCUACCGACAUUGGGAGAUAUUUUCCAUUAGAUUUUUGUUGUCUAAAUUCCAAAAUACUCCUUGUAAACCACCAAUUACAUGAUUCCUUAGUUUUUAAGUUAGUAAAAAGACCAAAUAUCUAUGUAAUAAUUAGUUUUAUAUUAGUUUGCUAUAAAUACCUCUCGGGAGCAUGUUCUCAGAGAGGAGUUCCUUCUGUAACCAUUUUGGUAAGCAAGUAAAGUCUUUUCUUUCUACUGCCUUACCUUCUCACUUUGUAUUUUCAUUUUAUUUCUAAGUUAUGAAUUCUCUGAGGAGCUUUCCCCAGAGAAUGAGUAACUAAACCUCCAAUUCCUUGGAGCUAAGGUUGCCGGGGAAGGUUCCAAGUGCAAGAAUGCAAAGCUCUGUGGUUUUAGCUAGUAAUGAAGAGGAAGUGAAAUCCUUUAGUGAUUUCAAUGUUUUUAGUUAACUUAAAACACCUUGGAGUCACCUGGGCCAACACUUGGUAAGGCAAGUGAUUUCCAACCGUGGAAAUGCACUAGUUUACCCCUUGCGAGCCUCUGGUAGGUGACUUCAAGGUAGGAUUUUCUGGAAUUACCAACACUUGGUAAGCUUUUGGACUCCUAGGAGACAUCCAUUAGUUAUCUCUUGCGAGUUUGUGAAGGGGAAUCCAAGGUUAAAGAUCACCUUGAAUGGUAAGUGCUCGUGAGAGGCAUGAACCAUUGCAAGUUGUAUCAGUGAGAGAAUUAAAGUGAAAUCUAAUUGAAGGAGUCUCUGUACAUCACCGGUUAGAGAAUUGACUAUAAGUUGAAUCUCUAAUGCGAGGAAAUGAACCAUCUGACCGGAGCUAUGUCUUUUGCAUGAGGAACCACCCCAGUGAACCUAAAUCUCCAAGGAAUGCUUUUCUUCCUAAAUUAUUCCAAACUUCUGUUAAGUUAGUUAGUUUAAGUCUAAACCUUUACCAAUCAAACUUUGUGUUUUAUUCCUUAAGCUAACCGUGAAAUGAAACAAAACCAAUUCACUUGGAAUUGGUAUCCUUGAUUGCUUGCAAAUCAUUCCCAGUGAACGAUCCUUAGAGCCACUAUACUAUAGUAGCUUUGUAUUUGCUACCCUAGUGUAUGGUGUUAUAGGUAUAAAUUUUGUUGAUCACUUCCUCAAUCAAGGAACACCAGCUGAACACAAAUCAGCUGAGACACCAAUUGGGCAUGAGUCAGUGCGUUAGAGGAUCAAGAAGAAGAAAAAGAAGGAACUGUUGGAAUUAGUAUGAGUGUGAAGAGAAAAGUAUAUAAAUAAGGGGAAGUAAAAGCAAAGUUCAAAAAGCUAUAUUUUUUUAUUGUUGGUGUAUGGUUGCAUGAUUAUCCCUAUAAAUAAUAGGAGUUUUUUGGUAUUCUACUAGUAGUUGAAGCAUAAUUUCAUAAAUUAAUAUUUAGAGCGGGGUGGGGUGAGUUGUGACAAAAUUCAUACCCGUCCCAAACCUUGGUUCAGAUUUUUAAAAUAUUCUCAAACUUAUCAUAUACCCAACUUUUAUAUUUCAUACUUGUCCUAAUAGAGGCACGUUAGGCCGGGUUACUUGAGUAACCUACAUAAUUGUCAUCCCUAGUUGAAAUACACUUUUUGGCAGUGGCCACCAACUGAGCUAGAAGCUUGAUUGAUUGACCUACAAGAUUAGUUCUCAUCAUUUUAAAAAAAGUUCUGGCUUUGGUUGUGAGUGCAAUUGAAUCUAAACUGGCAUUUGCUUAAUGCAUCUACUUCAAUCCUAAACUUCUUACUUCUUAAGCCUCAAUUGUUGUUAGGAUUUUGGAAAACCCAUUUCCUUAAAUUGUAAAUUUAAGAUAAAAUAAAAUAAAAGUGAGACAUUUCUUGAUUGAAUAUUGUUAAAGGUCCCUUGGCAUUAAGACUUGGUUGAAGCCUUGGAAGAUUAGUGGAACUCUCAACAUGUGUUUGAAUCUUGAGGAGAGUGGAUGUAAGCCAAAAUUUUGUCAAACCAUUAUACAAAUUGAGUUUGAAUCCUCAUUUCUUGAUUUCUUAUUUAUUUGCUUUUUCUUAUUAUUACUUGAAUUGUCAUUUGCAUUCAUUAAUGUUAAAAUUGGUUAUAAUUAACCAACACUAAUUCUCUUUCCCCUUCCCUUUCUUGGGUGUAAACCUAGGUUGGAUUAACUAGAUAAAUCUAUUAAGAUGGUAAAAGAAUAAUUAUUCUUAACAUACAUAAGAUCAUCUUCAAUCAAAUGACUCAUUGGCUAAUAUGUUGAAUUUGCUUAUUACUUGCAACUCAAAAUUGUGUUCUAGUUGUGUCAAGUCCCCAGUGUAUGGACAUUAAAUUUGUAGUACGUGAUGAGUAAUUAGAUGGUCCAACUCCAAGAAAGUGAUUGAAAAGUAGUUCAAGAAAGGUGCAAAAGGGAAUUGUUUUGGUAUUUUCGUUUUUAUUCUUGAAGGUGGCAGAGCUAAAAUUUGAGAAAUCAAGCAAAACAUACUGAAAUUACAUUGAAAGAAAGAAGAUGGGAGUUAAUGUCUUGCAGUACAUGAUAAGGACUUCAUGCAUGUAGUGUGACCCAUGUCUUGGACUGAUGCCAACUCACGGUUACACUUAUACCCUUGGUUCUCUCUUUACUACCUUGGCUAACCUAGAUCAGGCUAUGAGAUAGGCUCCUCACCACACCAUUACUUGCCCAUUAAUUAGAGACAUUUUCAAGCAAUGAGGUAACAUGGUGACACCAAGAGGGUCUAUUCCUCGCCCGGAACAAGUCUAGACUUGGUCUCAAAAAAAUGGAGAAAAAUGAGGUGUCGUUAUGUAGAAAUACAACAACCAUGCCUUCCUCAUUACUUAGAUUCAGAAUGUGAAGGUGAAAUUGAGAAACAGAAACUCUUGAAACCAAAAUGAAAAUUGAUACUUUUACGAAGAAUUACAACAACAUUAGAGGAAGACUACAUUCUUCCUCUUUAUUCCUACAUUUCUACACUACUUCUACUCCACUCCAUAUUUCUACAUACAUCUUUAAUCAGUCUUCCCUCCUUUAUAUAGAGCCAUCUUCACACAAAUUUCGCAAGGUAGAAAAGAGGAAUGAAACUUGGAGCAAGGUUCGACUACUGGUUGUAGCUUGUCAAGGCUGGAAGUGAACUUUUCUUGGCUUUCUGGGCAUGGGUAGUAACUUGUGGGUUCCUGUUUGGCAUAAAAAUGGCUAGAACAUGUGGCACUAUCUUGUUGGAUGAUGUGUCAAGCAUGUGGCAGCCAUCUAGUGGCGAUUAUGUCAAUUUUGGGAUGGAGAGUUGGCAUCCAAUUGCAAAGAAAUAUGACGUCUACCAACAUGCAAUGUAAACCUAUGUAGAUCAUAUGAAGAUAGAGAGGAAAAAUAUAGAAAUGGAUAUAUACCUAGAACUAGCUUUUUAUUAAAUGAAACGGAGAGACAACAAUGAAGGAAAAUAAAAUUUUUUGGCUUAUAUCAAAGAGUUCACAUUGUGUUACCCUAGGUUUUCUUAAAACUUACUUUUAUGAUAACAAAAAAGAAAAAACCAUUAUUGUUUAAUCCUUUGUUUUAAACGCAUGUAAGGUGUAAUUAAGUUAGUUCAAUGCAUUAAUUUAAGAAACUUGACCUAUCAAAAGUACAAAAUUAGAUGAAAUCCAUUUCAAUGGUUAAAAUGAUCAAAAUCAAACUUUUUCUAAGUAUUUUUUAAAAGCAUCAAUAGUGAAAGACAAUUUUAUAUUUAGUCGGAGUUUGGACAAAACUGAAAAACACACAAAAUCCAAGCGACCAUCUCUAGCUUGGAUGGUCGCUUGAUCCCACCUAGAGAUGUGCAUGAGUAAAAGGAUUUGAAAAUGGAAAUUGACUAUGUAGUCGAUCAAUUAACUUUGCAACAUCAUAUGCAAUCCUAAUUGCUAGUCAUCUAAUCAAUUAGGUAGUCAAUCAACAGGCCAAAAAUAUGUUUAUAAUGACUAUUUUGUACAAAAACCACCUGUAUAGUUAAAUAUAAUGCAUUUCAUUUAUAAAUCUUCUAAUUCUUGAAUAACGAUCCUAUCAUCCUUUGAAAGUUUUUAUUACACUUUUUUUACUUUUGUUCUAAAACUUACACAUCACCCUUAAUUGUACCAUGAGAACCUAGCUAUUUUUUAUUUUUUUUUUUGUAAUUCAUCAAAGUUAGCUUUUGUAUUCAUUGUUGUAUUAUUUUUAGUAUAACUUAGAAAGCUAGUGUUUUCAAGUGAGUAAAAUUAACUUGUAAAUAUUGUAAAGAUUCAUCGACAUGUAUCUUAAACUAAGUGUACAAGUUAAAACAUUUGCUAGUAGAUUUUCUCAAAAUUUAGAAUAGAGCUUGAGACUAUUGAAAUAGGUGGGGUUGCACCAAACCACAUCACAUCGUUGUUUGCACCUUUUUUCACUCUCUUUUACUUAGUUGCUCUAUAUUUGUUGUCUAGUAAUAUCCUAUAGGCUUGAUGGGUUAGGGAGCAUCCCUUUGUGAAAAAAUUUUAUUCAAUCCUUAGUUGUAUCACGCAUAUAUAAAAUGCCUCAUUGUUUUAAUGGUAUUCAGUCGUGGCAUCACAGAUAUGGGCAUCUAAAUUUUAAAAGUUUGAAACUUUUAUCUAAAGAAAAUAUGGUGCUUUGCCUUUUUGUAAAGCAUGUUGAUGAAAUCCAUGAGAAUUGUGUACUUGGGAAGCAACACCGAGAUGACUUUUUUUUUUUUUUUAUAAUAUUGUUUGUCCAAAUUCCCUACAAAUUAGGCCACCAGAUGUUCAUAAUUCUCCCUUCUUGAAUUUGAAAACUCGGACAAUUGGACAAUGCGACACCUAAGUCCGGUUUCUAAAUGCUAAAGUGAAAGGGUAGGUAUGGACCAUUGAAAUGUGAUCACAACUUUUCUCUGUAGCCAUGUUGUCUCUUUUUUCUUUUGCAUGAUUUUCUUACCUUAACAGAAUCAUAGACUUGUUUAGUCUCUAAAUGGGAUUAAUUUCAUCCAGCUUUAAGCUACUAUAUUAUAUCUAGGUGGAGGACUUUUAAGAGUGCAACCGACAUAGAGCACAUGGAAGUGGGUAUAUGGGACAUGAAAUUUCUUCUUAUAAAGAUUGCAUGAUUUUUAUAUUAGAGUUGUUGAGGCGCUAUGUAUUUAGCUUGUUUUGCAGUUAAAUUAAUUGGAUAAGUAGACAUUGGCGUUUCUAAAUCUACUGUGAAGUGCUUCAUGUACGUGUGAAGUAUUAGAAAUUUCUUUCUUGGCAACUUGUUUUUCUUUGCGGUCUACUGAUAGGUUUGACUAAAAUUAUAUUCCCUGUCAUGCUAAUUAAUUUUCACGUGCAUGCUCAAAAGAAAAGUAUGACCUUAGUGCACCAAAAUCACUUUGAUUAAUUUGUGAUAGGUUUUUGUGCAUCAUGACAUUAGCCUUAUUCAUUUAGAUAAUGUUUAGUUUUUAGAAAGUAUUAAGAAAAGGAAAAUAAAUAUUAAGAAAAAUAUUCUUAUAUUUGAUUGUAUUAUGAAAAAUAUCAUAAAAAAAUCAAAUAUAAUUUAAAUUAAUUAAUAAUUUAUACAUUUUCAAAUUAUUUAAUCUUUAUAUUGAAGAUAUAAUAUAAAUGAAAUGAGUUUUAAGUAUUAUAUAAAAGUGAUUUAUUGAUCUUACAUAUAUAUAUUUCUUUUUUUUUUCCUUCUAUUUUUUCUCUUUAUUUUAUUUUCCUUAUGUUUUCCUCAACAUUUUCCGGAACCAAACAUAGCCUUAGGAAAUCCACAAUUACCUUCAACUGAGUAGAUUCUGUUGUUUUAGCAAUGUUAGGCUGCUAACUUGUGUUGGUACGAACCUAUUAAGCCUAAAGAUGUAAUUAGUUAGGAUAUUCUUUUCCCUCUAGUCUUGUAGCUCCACGUGUACAGUUGGUUAGGACCUCAUUGUAUAUAAUGCUUGCCCUGUUAUUGUAGAAGACAACAAAGAUAAAUAAUAUUAACAUUUUUCCUCUCAUCUCUCUCUGUUUCCCUCUGUUUUCAUCUCCUCUCUCAUCUUGGUAUCAGAGCCUCCAUGGCUUCUUUCAAAGAAACCUCCGAAUCACCUUCUGCUAGCAUUGUUAAUGUGCAAAACCCAUUAUCUCAAUCAAACAACCUUCCUUCACCAGUAGCCACACCCUCUUUUUCUUUCUCGUCUAUGAAUCAACCUCUCACAGUGAAGCUGGAUAAUGGGAACUACCUCAUAUGGAAGAAUUAGCUUCUAAAUGUCAUCAUUGCUAACGGACUCGAUGAUUUCAUUGACGGAUCUCGACCCUGCCCUCCUCGAUUUCUCGAUCUGCAACAACAAACCCUCAAUCCAGAGUACUCAGCUUGGCAGAGAUACAAUCGACUUCUGAUGAGUUGGCUGUACGCAUCCUUGUCCAAAGAUAUAAUGGCUCAGAUUGUUGGGUAUUCAACAGCUAUGGAGAUUUGGAAUGCCCUUAAUCAGAUUUACUCUGCCUCUUCUAUGGCGCGGUUUACUGAGCUUCGCACCAAGCUUCAAACGCUCAAGAAAGAUGGACUCUCAGUUGGUGAAUAUAUUCAAAGGCUCAAAUCCAUUUGCAAUAGUCUUGCAGCAAUAGGAGAACCAGUUUCUGAGAAAGACCAUCUUAUCUAUUUGUUCAAUGGAUUAGAUUGUGAGUAUUAUUCUUUUGUUACCUCCAUUCAAAAUCGAUCUGACCAACCAACUAUUGACAAAAUCCAUAGCCUAUUGCUUAGCUAUGACUUCCGGCUUGAACAACAAAACUCUGUUUCUCUCCAUUCUGCCCAAGUCCAUAUGGCUCAUCUGAACAAGAAACCUUAUAAAUCAACUCCUCAACCUACAUUCAAUCAUAUUCACAUUCAACCUAGAUACUCUUCUCCACCUUUUAAGCCAACCACUAGUCAAUAUCAACCCAACAUUUUGGGCAAACCACAACCACAACCAUGACAGCCUCAACCUCAAUGGAAACCACAUUUUUCAAUCUAAAAUCAAAAGCCUCAGCGCCAAAUUUGUGGUAAAUUUGGACACACUGCUCUUAUUUGCUUCCAUCACACAAAUUUGAACUAUUCACCCCAACCUUCUCCUAAAUCUUUCAAUACUGUUCUCACCACAAAUUCCCAGCUCCCUAAUCCUCCAAAAUUUUCUUACCCUACAAUGGCUCAUCCUGCUGCUACGCAUAACACGGUUCCCGAUACAAAUUGGUACAUGGACUCAGGUGCUACACAUCACUUUACUCUGGACAUCAACGUGCUUGACACUGUGACACCAUUUAGUGGUUCAGAACAGGUGACAGUUGGGAAUGGUAAGCAACUCUGUAUCUCACAUCUUGGUACUGCAAAACUACCAUCUUCGUAUUCUCCUCCUGUUCUACAUCAGGUAUAUCACACUCCAAAAAUUUCAAAUAAUCUUAUUAGUGUUAAAAAAUUGUGUUCUGAUAAUAAAGUUUUUGUUGAAUUUUAUGCCACUCAUUUUCUUGUCAAGGAUCAGGUUUCGAAGAGAGUUCUCCUUUAGGGUCAACUUGAUAAUGGCUUAUACAAAGUUCAGUCGUCAUGCUCUCCUUCUGCUGUUUCCUUUCCUCCUCAAGUUUUCAUAGCCAACAUCAAGUAUCCAAAUCUGUGGCACAAGAGACUAGGCCACCCAGCUUUAUCUGUUGUUAAUCAAAUCUUGGAUUCUUGUAACAUUGCUCGAACACAGAAAAUUUGUUUUAAUUUUUUAAAUUCUUGUCAAUUAGCAAAGAGCCACAGGCUUCCUUUUUCUCUGUCUCCAUCCAUUGCAGAAAAACCUUUUGAGUUAAUUCAUACAGACCUAUGGGGUCUUUCGCUCGUUCGCUCUAUUUCUGGUGCUCUUUAUUUUUUACUUUUCAUUGAUGAUCAUACUCGUUUUACUUGGUUUUAUUUGCUCAAAACAAAAGAUGAAGCAUAUCCUACUUUUCUCAAGUUUCAAGCUCUCAUUGAAAAUCAAUUUAAUACCAAGAUUAAGGCUGUCCAAUCUGAUUGGGGAGGUGAGUUUCGAUCUCUCUCCAUACCGUUUUCAAAUAUGGGCAUUGUCUAUUGUUUAUCGUGUCCAUACACCUCACAACAGAAUGGGCGAGUUGAGCGAAAAAAUCGCCAUGCGAUUGUCCUUUCUUGCUUGCUCUAUGCCCUUAUCUUAUUGGCCUUAUGCCUUUCAAACUGCCACUUACCUUAUUAAUCGUCUCUCUACCCCUGUGCUGCAUCAUCAAUCCUCUUACUUCGCACUCUAUCACAAACUCCCAACUUAUACUCAUCUUAAGGUCUUUGGUUCCUCUUGUUUUCCGUAUUUGCACCCUUAUAAUACCCAUAAACUCCAAUACAGGUCACUAGAGUGUGCUUUUCUUGGUUACAGUUCACACCACAAAGGUUAUCUAUGUCUUGACAUUCAUUCUAGCAGGGUGUAUAUUUCUCGCCAUGUGAUUUUUAAUGAAGAUUCUUUUCCAUUCAAGAAUUUGAAAUCUUCUCUCUCUCAGUCUAUUUCUUCUUCCUCUUCUUUAUAAGUUCCUCUGUUCAUUCUCUUGCCUCCCCUUUCCCCAUCUCCUCUUAUUUCUUCAUCUAUACCUCAUUCUUUUCCCUCUUCUUCUUCUACCUCUAGUACUUGUUCCCCUCUCGUUGCUCCUACCUCUCUUCCUUCCUCUUCACACUCUGUGUCUCCAUCUAUUCCACCUCCUUCUCCACCUUCUCCGAGUGUGGACCUGCUUGCACCUUGUGUGAAUACAAAUUUACAUACUUCUUCUCGCACUCACAAUAUUCAUCCUAUGGUGACUAGAUCUAAGGUUUGUAUCUAUAAACCUAAGUUGUUGUUGAGUGUCUCCAUAGGUUCUCUCACUAAGCCUACUUCCUUUCUUCAAGCUAUUAAAGAUCCUUCAUGGAAGCAAUCCAUGGAAUUCGAGUUUGCUACCCUUCAACACAACAAGACCUGGCAUUUGGUUCCUUCACCUUCCUCAGGCGAAGUAAUCGGUUGUAAAUGGGUCUAUAAGCUAAAGCUUCAGCCUGAUGGCUAAAUUGAGAGAUACAGCCUGCUUAGUAGCUAAGGGUAUCAUCAAAUUGAAGUAUGGACUACUUCGAAACAUUCAGCCUGAUNNNNNNNNNNNNNNNNNNNNNNNNNNNNNNNNNNNNNNNNNNNNNNNNNNNNNNNNNNNNNNNNNNNNNNNNNNNNNNNNNNNNNNNNNNNNNNNNNNNNAGCUUCAGCCUGAUGGCUAAAUUGAGAGAUACAAGGCCUGCUUAGUAGCUAAGGGUUAUCAUCAAAUUGAAGGUAUUGACUACUUCGAAACAUUCAGCCUGAUUGUCAAGCUUUCUACUAUCUGUAUUGUGCUCAGUCUUACUUUUUCCCAGAAUUGGUGUAUUAGACAGCUGGAUGUUCAUAAUGCCUUCUUACAUGGUGACUUAGCUAAAGACGUUUUCAUGGAACAACUGCCUGGAUUUGUUGAUCCUCUCUAUCCUACUCAUGUCUGCAAGUUGGAUAAGUCUCUCUACUGUCUUAAAUAGUCACCUCGGGCUUGGUAUACUAAGCUGAGUACUUCUCGCUACACUUGGGAUUUGUUACUUCUAAGAAUGACUCUUCCUUAUUUAUUUGUCAUUCGUCUCAUGGGUUACUUCUUGUUCUUGUCUAUGUGGAUGAUAUAAUCGUCAUUGGGAGCCACUCUCCUCAGGUUACUCACCUUAUCCAACAGUUGCAUCAUUAGCUUUCUUUAAAGGAUCUUGGUCCUUUACAUUAUUUUCUGGGCUUGGAGGUUCAUCACACCCCUACUGGUAUUCACCUCAGCCAAGCAAAGUAUAUCACUGAUCUCCUUACCCGGGCGGCUAUGUUGGAUGCCAAGCCAUGUCCCACUCCUAUGUCCUCCAACACAUAUCUCUCUUUUCAUGAUGGAGUGGCUCUUGAAAAUGGUUCAGAUUAUCGAAGUUUUGUUGGUGCCCUUUAGUAUUGUACCAUGACACGCCCAGAUAUAGCUUUUGCAAUAAAUAAAGUGUGUCAAUUCAUGCACCAUCCCUCUAAUGUUCACUGGCAGGCUAUAAAACGUAUUCUCCGGUACUUAAAGGGCACAUCUCAUUUUGGUCUCUUCCUACAGCCUUCCUAUGACUUCAACAUCACUUGCUAUACAAAUGCCGACUGGGCUUCCUGUCCUGAUGACAAGUGUAGCACCAGUGGCUACUGCCUCUUUCUUGCCUCUAAUCUGGUUUCUUGGUCAUCUUCCAAACAAAAAGUGGUCUCCCGCUCCAGCGCCGAAUCAGAGUACCGAGGGGUAGCAAAUGGGGCUGCUGAAAUUGCUUGGACUGAAUCUCUUCUUUGUGAACUUUCCAUUACUCCCCCUCCCCUCAUUCUCUGUGACAAUAUCAGUGCCACGUACUUAGCUGCCAAUCCUAUUUUGCAUGCCCGCACCAAACAUGUGGAAAUCGACUAUCACUUUGUCACGGAACGUGUUCUUCAAUGCUCUCUUUUUGUCCAGUUUACACCUUCUGAUGAUCAACUUGCUGAUUGCAUGACCAAGCCUCUCUCCACCCAACGUUUCAUCACUCUACGCUCCAAGCUCACUGUUCUCACUAGACCAAUGAGCUUGAGGGGGGAUGUUAAGCCUAAAGAUGUAAUUAGUUAGGAUAUUCUUUUCCCUCUAGUCUUGUAGCUCCACGUGUACAGUUGGUUAGGACCUCAUUGUAUAUAAUGCCUGCCCUGUUAUUGUAGAAGACAACAGAGAUAAAUAAUAUUAACAUUUUUCCUCUCAUCUCUCUCUCUGUUUCCCUCUGUUUUCAUCUCCUCUCUCAUCUGAACCAAAUGAUCCAUGUUAACCUUGGCUUGGUUUGAUUUGGCUCUAUCUUAGAGAGCUCAAGGAUCACGUCAACUCUGGUUUCUACUAUUCAGGUCCAUUCCCAUAUGAACUGGUUCAAAUUUGAGAAAAUGGUAACAGACCUUUAGUGAUGUUGGUUUGGAGCCAGUUGCCAAACCCGCCCUGAGCUUUACCACUAAUGUCAAGGGAGAAAGCCAUUUGAACAAAAACAAUAGCUUCAAGGGACUGAAUCGUGGAUGAAAUCUGAUCCACAUUUCUUCUCAUUUUGGAAACAAAUGAGAACUUAACUAAGAAGAUUCUACGGCCUCAUAGUGCUUUUCCUGAUCUAAGGUUGGUUCGUUUCCCAAACUGUGAGAUGCACGUGCCAGACUUCAGAACUCUCACGCUCAGGAGUGUAUCCACGUGGUGGACAUAAGAUGGUGGCUUAAGAUCUGGUGUCGGUGGCUUUACUUUACUAGGAGAGUAGUGUGUCUUCAUCUCAUUCACUGCCGGAGGGUGGCGUAAGCAGUGACGCUAAGGUGGGGCACAGUCAAUAUCAUUUGCAUUUGACCAUUAUAGUUUUCUCCCGGCUUUAAAGUAACCUUAUCGUGAUAAAGGAUUACUAGCACUAGUUCAGAUGAUAGUCAUGUUAAAUUCGGACCAUGUUUGUGUCACAUUAUCAGCAACCAUGUGUUUAUGGUUCAUGCUUUCUGCAACUAAAAUUGAUAUAUAACCAGGUGAACUUCAAUCUAAAUUCUGAAAGUACUCAUGUGAUAGAUGGUGCCCGUCUGCAGAGUCCAUCAAUUGAAAAAUGGAGUGAGUGUAUCUAUAAGAGGGAAGGCUUGGAAAAUGUUCAGUUUUCUGGGAAUUCAACAAGGAUCUAAAAUAGAUUGUUUUCUUUGCUGAUUUCAAUGGUUGAAAUUUGAGAAGAUUGUGUCCACAUAACACAACUAUUACUGGUCCUUCUGUUGCAAUUUAUCCUCUAAAGCUCUAGCAUGUCUUCCAAUUCCCACUUCCCUGUUACUCCAGGAAAGCUAUUUCUGUCAUUGUGAAGAAGAAAAGAGAAUGUACAUAUCGAUGCUUUUAAGUGACUGGAGCAUUUAUAUCAGGUGGUCUGCAGCCAUAUAUGCCACUUUGUGAAGAUUGGAACAGUCAAUCACUAGGCUAUAUAUUAGUGUGGCCCAGCCACUUUAAUCAAGGACAAGUCUUCAUACUUAAAGUCAAAUUCUGCCUUUAGUCUCAUUAUAAAUUUCUGUUUAAAUAUUAAGCAAACAUUUGUUUAAUGCGAUUAAGACAGUACUAACUCAAUACCUGUUCUAUUUUUGGAUGCAAAUGCUUGAUGGUUUCAUCAUUGGAUGGGAUAAAGGUGCAUUCAUGAUUAGGAAUACUAGUAGUUAUAUUUUAAUUCUCUUUUUUCUCAAUGAGACUUGUUGGCACAAUUUUGCUGUUGAGAAACCUACCUCUCCAUGGAAAAUAAGUUGUGAUUGAUAGUACUGGAUAUAUUCAAGAAAUCUAAAUAUAGAUAGCACAAAAUAUUAUCGACAUAAAUAGCAUUAACAGCGUACGUAUGUCUCAGUGCUCAUCAGCUAUAAGCAUGGGGCAAACACUUACUAUGAGCAACUUACGUCAAAAUUCCAGAAUAGGACAUAGAAGUGACAGAUAUAGAACAUUGCAUAUGAGUCACAAGAAAGGAAAUUACGGGUGCAUAGCAGCUCUUAUUUUACAUACUACUACUCAUACUGAUCAAAGUCACUCAGUUGGGAUGGGUGGGAGUAGGAGGUUUGUGGGGUGGCUUGUGCGGAGGAGUUGGCAGCUUCUUUCCAGGACCUGGUUGCUUCUCUGCUGGAGUUGAAGGAGGCUUAAUCUUCCGAGGUGGCUUGUAUGAGUCUUCAGCAUUCUCAGCUGGAGGGUGACCAGGGUUGUGACCAUAAUGUGGUGGCUUCUCUCCCUUAGGUGGUUUGCCAACUGGGGUUGGUGGCUUGUAUGAGUCUUCAGCAUUCUCAGCAGGAGGGUGACCAGGGUUGUGACCAUAAUGUGGUGGCUUCUCUCCCUUAGGUGGUUUGCCAACUGGGGUUGGUGGCUUGUGUUCUGGGAGUGGCUUCUCCCCCUUGGGAGGUUUUUCCAAUGGGGUUGGUUUGUGUUCAGGAGGUGGCUUCUCCACUGGAGGCUUGUGUUCAGGAGGUGGCUUCUCCACCGGAGGCUUGUGUUCAGGUGGUGGCUUCUCCACCGGAGGCUUAUGCUCUGGUGGUGGCUUCUCGAAUGGGGGAUGCUUAGGAUAAUCAGCAAGUGAGGGGGCGGUGAGAACCACCAGGCCAAGCAACACCACUAGCAAAUAUGUAGGAGACAUCUUUGGGUUUGGGCUCAGAUGGUGCAAAACUAGGAGAAUUGGCUAGCCUUUUAUAGCGGAUCGUACCCAAUAAUGAAAUGACACGUGUCAUUAUGACCCAUGUGUAAUGGGGUCGAUUUGGGUCCUACAGUGUUGAAAACUUCGACAUCCACUUUUGGCCUUUUGCUUUCUCUACAGCCGCCUUGCUUUUUCCCUCUUUCCUUUUGUUUUCCUCCUGCCCCAUUCUAUCAACUAAACACAAUUAUGUAGUUGUUUAAUUCUUAAAUGAGAUAUUAUCCGUCAAUCGUAUUAUAUUUUAUCAAGAGAGAACGGAGUGCAAUGUGGCUGUAAUUUUAUCGUUUAGUUUUAUCUCUUGGACCACUGCAUUUUUGUUAAGAGGUGCAAUAAUACACGUCUUUAUCUGCCAUUCAAUAUUUACAGUAAAGAGAGGGCACAAAACUCUUCACUUCGCACCAUAAUUAUUUUGUUUUCUGGACACCCCGGGGCCCUUUGGUUGGUUUGGGGGUCAGAAAGUGAACAUCAUAGGGGGUUUUUCCCUUAUGUGCAUUUGUAUCUGAUGGCUUUAACUCGCCUUGUUACUACAAAGAAACUGUCACAGAUAGGAACUUAUUCCAGGCUGAGUAUCUCCUCAUAGACCCUAUAAAAGAAGACAAGUCAUAAUGAACAUCUAACCUUUGUUCAAUUUGAUUCAAUGCCCCCAUUGUGUCCAUCUCACAAAUCUGAAUUAUUAUAUCCAUUGAAUACAUAAAUUAAUGAAGAAAAUAUGAAACCCAAGAUACAUCUCUGCACAACCUCAACCCUGGUUGCUAUGUUUCCCUUCUAUUCACAUGAUUUGAUGCUAAUUGCCAAACUUGCAACAAGCCCUGAGUUUGACACCUAGUAUCGAUGGGCGAAUUUAAAGUCUCCUCCAAACAUAUAUUCCACAGCUUGAAGCUCACAGAAGAUGUUACAGGCAGGGAAAAACCUUCAGAGUUCGCUACCAAAGAUAAUUAUUAAGGAGAUAUCACAAAGAGAAUUCCAAGGGGUCUGAAUCAAAGACAAAUUGGUCGUUCGUGGGGGUUCUUACUUUCUUUUGGGUAUAACUCACUGAGGGCACUGUCUUUGUUAUUUGCAUUUCACAUUUAGAGUUCUGUUCUGGAAACAUAUAAAAGGAGCAUCAUUUUGUUCUUGGGUAACCCAUAGUCGUGAGUGGGUCCAUUUGCAUGCUACUUAGUUGAAAAGUUGGACCAUUUGCUCCGACGCCUACCUCCCGGAUUCCAUGCUCGGAUAAAACAAGAAUAAAAAAAAUAUUUAUAAUUUACAAAUGGGGGAAAGAAAAAAAUGUCAACAACAAACCAGGAAAAAAGAGUAGUAAAAUUCAUGUCACAUGCUAGUGAGAGAAGGGGUUGUUACACUCACUCGAAGUUCUUUCCAAAAUAUCGCAUGGUAUUUUAUUUUAUGUGUCAGCGCAGUUGUGAAUGGAACGUGCAAAAGUCCAAAUUGGCGUUUUUCCUUUUCCCGUGUAGGAUGGCGACCUUUAAUAAAUAUUUAAAACAAAAAACGAAAAAAAGGAGGGAAAAGGGAUCAGAAAAGAUAAAACAAUGUGUACAAGAGCUCAAUUAGUUUGCAAAUUACUGUUUGGAUUUUGAUAGUAUUUUAUUUGUCCAUCUAUAUUUGAUGGAAAAGAGAAUUUAAGAUAUUUCUGAAACAAAAGCAUUAGUGUAAAACUAAAUUAAGGUAUAAUUAAGUUAGUUCAAUGCAUUAAUUUAAGAAACUUGAUCUAUCCAAAGUACAAAAUUAGAUGAAAUCCAUUUCAAUGGUUAAAAUGAUCAAAAUCAAACUUUUUCUAAGUAUUUUUUAAAAGCAUCAAUAUUAAAAGACAAUUUUAUAUUUAGUCGGAGUUUGGACAAAACCAAAAAGCACACAAAAUCCAAGCGACCAUCUCUAGCUUGGAUAGUCACUUGAUCCCACCUAGAGAUGUGCAUGAGUAAAAGGAUUUGAAAAUGGAAAUUGACUAAAUAUUUAGUUGAUCAAUUAAAUUUGCAAUGUCAUAUGCAAUCCUAAUAGCUAGUCAUCUAAUCAAUUAGGUAGUCAAUCAAGUGUUUGUAAUGACUAUUUUGUACAAAAAACCACAUGUAUAGUUAAAUAUAAUGCAUUUCAUUUAUAAAUCUUCUAAUUCUUGAAUAACGAUCCUAUCAUCCUUUGAAAAUUUUUAUUACACCUUUUUUACUUUUGUUCUAAAACUUACAUAUCACCCUUAAUUGUACCAUGAGAACCUAGCUAUUUUUUUUUUUUUUGUAAUUCAUCAAAGUUAGCUUUUGUAUUCAUUGUUGUAUUAUUUUUAGUAUAACUUAGAAAGCUAGUGUUUUCAAGUGAGUAAAAUUAACUUGUAAAUAUUGUAAAGAUUCAUUGAUAUGUAUCUUAAACUAAGUGUACAAAUUAAAACAUUUGCUAGUAGAUUUUCUCAAAAUUUAGAAUAGAGCUUGAGGCUAUUGAAAUAGGUGGGGUUACACCAAACCACAUCACAUCGUUGUUUGCACCUUUUUUCACUCUCUUUUACUUAGUUUCUCUAUAUUUGUUGUCUAGUAAUAUCCUAUAGGCUUGAUGGGUUAGGGAGCAUCCCUUUGUGAAAAAAUUUCAUUCAAUUCUUAGUUGUAUUACGCAUAUAUAAAAUGCCUCAUUGUUUUAAUGGUAUUCAGUCGUGGCAUCACAGAUAUGGGCAUCUAAAUUUUAAAAGUUUGAAACUUUUGUAAAGCAUGUUGAUAAAAUCCAUGAGAGUUGUGUACUUGGGAAGCAACAUCGAGGUGACUUUAUUUUUUUUUCCUUUUAUAAUGCCACACCUAAGUCCGGUUUCUAAAUGCUAAAGUGAAAGGGUAGGUAUGGACCAUUGAAAUGUGAUCACAACUUUUGGCCUUUUCCUUUCUCUGCAGCCAUGUUGUCUCUUUUUUCUUUUGCAUGAUUUUCUUACCAAAACAGAAUCAUAGACUUGUUUAGUCUCUAAGCUACUAUAUUAUAUCUCGGUGGACUUUUAAGAGUGCAACCGACAUAGAGCACAUGCAAGUGGGCAUAUGGGACAUGAAAUUUCUUCUUACAAAGAUUGCAUGAUUUUUAUAUUAGAGUUGUUCACGUGCAAUGUAUUUAGCUUGUUUUGCAGUUAAAUUAAUUGGAUAAGUAAACAUUGGCAUUUCUAAAUCGACUGUGAAGUGCUUCAUGUACGUGUAAAGUAUUAGAAAUUUCUUUCUUGGCAACUUGUUUUUUCCUUGCCAUCUACUGGUAGGUUUGACUAAAAUUAUAUUCCCUGUCAUGCUAAUUAAUUUUCAUGUGCAUGCUCAAAAGAAGAGUAUGACCUUAGUGCACCAAAAUCACUUUGAUUAAUUUGUGAUAGGUUUUUUUGCAUCAUUUAGAUAAUGUUUAGUUCUAAGAAAAAUUUAUAUAAAAAUGGUUUAUUUAUCUUACAUAUAUAUAUAUAUAUAUAUAUUUUUUUUUUUUUCAUUUUUUUUUCUUCUAUUUUAUUUAUUUAUUUUAUUUUCCUUAUGUUUUCCUCACAUUUUCCGGAACUAAACAUAGUCUUACGAAAUCAACAAUUGCCUUCAACUGAGUAGAUUCUGUUGUUUUAGCAAUGUUAGGCUGCUAACUUGUGGUGGUACGAACCAAAUGACCCAUGUUAAUCUUGGCUUGGUUUGAUUUGGCUCUAUCUCAGAGAGCUAAAGGAUCACGUCAACUCUGGUUUCUACUAUUCAGGUCCAUUCCCAGAUGAACUGGUUCAAAUUUGAGAAAAUGGUAACAGACCUUUAGUGAUGUUGGUUUGGAGCCAGUUGCCAAACCCGCCCUGAGCUUUACCACUAAUGUCAAGGGAGAAAGCCAUUUGAACAAAAACAAUAGCUUCAAGAGACUGAAUCGUGGAUGAAAUCUGAUCCACAUUUCUUCUCAUUUUGGGAAAAAAUGAGAACUUAACUACAAAGAUUCUACUGCCUCAUUCAUAGUGCUUUUCCUGAUCCAAGGUUGGUUCGUUUCCCAAAUUGUGAGGUGCACGUGCCACUCUCACGCUCAGGAGUGUAUCCACGUGGUGGACAUCAGAUGGUGGCUUAAUAUCUGGUGUCGGUGGCUUUACUUUACUAGGAGAGUAGUGUGUCUUCAUCUCAUUCACUGCCGGAGGGUGGCGUAAGCAGUGACGCUAAGGUGGGGCACAGUCAAUAUCAUUUGCAUUUGACCAUUAUAGUUUUCUCCCGGCUUGAAAGUAACCUUAUCGUGAUAAAGGAUUACUAGCACUAGUUCAGAUGACCGUCAUGUUAAUUCGGACCAUGUUUGUGUCACAUUAUCAGCAACCAUGUGUUUAUGGUUCAUGCUAUCUGCAACUAAACUUGAUAUAUAACCAGGUGAACUUCAAUCAAAAUUCUGGAAGUACUCUUGUGAUAGAUGGUGCCUGUCUGCAGAGUCCAUCAAUUGAAAAAUGGAGUGAGUGUAUCUAUAAGAGGGAAGGCUUGGCAAAUGUUCAGUUUUCUGGGAAUUCAACAAGGAUCUAAAAUAGAUUGUUUUCUUUGCCGACUUCAAUGGUUGAAAUUUGAGAAGAUUGUGUCCACAUAUCACAACUAUUACUGGUCCUUCUGUUGCAAUUUAUCCUGUAAGGCUCUAACAUGUCUUCCAAUUCCCACUUCCCUGUUACUCCAGGAAAGCUAUUUCUGUCAUUGUGAAGAAGAAAAGAGAAUGUACAUAUCGAUGCUUUUAAGUGACUGGAGCAUUCAUAUCAGGUGGUCUGCAGCCAUAUAUGCCACUUUGUGAAGGUUGGAACAGUCAAUCACUAGGCUAUAUAUUGGUGUGGCCCAGCCACUUCAAUCAAGGACAAGUCUUCAUACUUAAAGUCAAAUUCUGCCUUUAGUCUCAUUAUAAAUUGCUGUUUAAAUAUUAAGCAAACUUUUGUUUAAUGCGAUUAAGACAGUACUAACUCAAUACUUGUUCUAUUUUUGGAUGCAAAUGCUUGAUGGUUUCAUCAUUGGAUGGGAUAAAGGUGCAUUCAUGAUUAUGAAUACUUGUAGUUAUAUUUUCAUUCUCUUUUUUCUCAAUGAGACUUGUUGGCACAAUGUUGCUGUUCAGAAACCUACCUCUCCAUGGAAAAUAAGUUGCGAUUGAUAGUACUGGAUAUGUUCAAGAAAGCUAAAUAUAGAUAGCACAAAAUAUUAUCGAUAUAAAUAGCAUUAACAGCGUACGUAUGUCUCAAUGCUCAUCAGCUAUAAGCAUGGGACAAACACUUACUAUGAGCAACUUACGUCAAAAUUCCAGAAUAGGACAUAGAAGUGACAGAUCUAUAUAUAUAGAACACUGCAUAUGAGUCACAAGAAAGGAAAUUACGGGUGCAUAGCAGCUCUUAUUUUACAUACUACUACUCAUACUGAUCAAAGUCACUCAGUUGGGAUGGGUGGGAGUAGGAGGUUUGUGGGGUGGCUUGUGCGGAGGAGUUGGCAGCUUCUUUCCAGGACCUGGUUGCUUCUCUGCUGGAGUUGAAGGAGGCUUAAUCUUCCGAGGUGGCUUGUAUGAGUCUUCAGCAUUCUCAGCUGGAGGGUGACCAGGGUUGUGACCAUAAUGUGGUGGCUUCUCUCCCUUAGGUGGUUUGCCAACUGGGGUUGGUGGCUUGUAUGAGUCUUCAGCAUUCUCAGCAGGAGGGUGACCAGGGUUGUGACCAUAAUGUGGUGGCUUCUCUCCCUUAGGUGGUUUGCCAACUGGGGUUGGUGGCUUGUGUUCUGGGAGUGGCUUCUCCCCCUUGGGAGGUUUUUCCAAUGGGGUUGGUUUGUGUUCAGGAGGUGGCUUCUCCACUGGAGGCUUGUGUUCAGGAGGUGGCUUCUCCACCGGUGGCUUGUGUUCAGGAGGUGGCUUCUCCACCGGAGGCUUAUGCUCUGGUGGUGGCUUCUCCACCGGAGGCUUAUGCUCUGGUGGUGGCUUCUUGAAUGGGGGAUGCUGAGGGUAAUCAGCAAGUGAGGGGGCGGUGAGAACCACCAGGCCAAGCAACACCACUAGCAAAUAUGUAGGAGACAUCUUUGGGUUUGGGCUCAGAUGGUGCAAAACUAGGAGAAUUGGCUAGCCUUUUAUAGCGGAUCGUACUCAAUAAUGAAAUGACACGUGUCAUUAUGACCCAUGUGUAAUGGGGUCGAUUUGGGUCCUACAGUGUUGAAAACUUCGACAUCCAGUUUUGGCCUUUUGCUUUCUCUACAGCCGCCUUGCUUUUUCCCUCUUUCCUUUUGUUUUCCUCCUGCCCCAUUCUAUCAACUAAACACAAUUAUGUAGUUGUUUAAUUCUUAAAUGAGAUAUUAUCGGUCAAUCGUAUUAUAUUUUAUCAAGAGAGAACGGAGUGCAAUGCAGCUGUAAUUUUAUCGUUUACUUUUAUCUCUUGGACCACUGCAUUUUUGUUAAGAGGUGCAAUAAUACACGUCUUUAUCUGCCAUUCAAUGUUUACAGUAAAGAGAGGGCACAAAACUCUUCACUGCUCUGCAUGUGUCCCAAAAAUGCGAUUGGACAAAUUAUGAUUUGCAUGCUAAAAAGAGGCAAAUGAGGUUAAUUCGCACCAUAAUUAUUUGGUUUUCUGGACACCAUAAAAAGAUGUUAUACAGGCAGGGAAAAACCUUCAGAGUUAGCUACCAAAGAUAAUUAUCAAGCAGAUAUCACCAAGAGAAUUCCAUAGAGUCUGAAUCAAAGACAGAUUGCUCGCUCGUGGGGGUUCUUACUUUCUUUUGGGUAUAACUCACUGAGGUCACUGUCUUUUUUAUUUGCAUUUCACAGUUAGAGUUCUGCUCUGGAAGGUUUGUUCUGGAAACAUAUAAAAGGAGCAUCAUUUUGUUCUUGGGUAACCCAUAGUCGUGAGUGGGUCCAUUUGCAUGCUACUUAGUUGAAAAGUUGGACAAUUUGCUCCGACGCCUACCUCCUGGAUUCCAUGCUCGGUAAAACAAGAAUAAAAAAAAAUAUAUAAUUUACAAAUGGGGGAAAGAAAAAAUGUCGGAAAAAAUAGUAAAAUUCAUGUCACAUGCUAGUGAGAGAAGGGGUUGUUACACUCACUCGAAGUUCUUUUCAAAAUAUCGAAUGGUAUUUUACUUUAUGUGUCAGCGCAGUUGUGAAUGGAACGUGCAAAAGUCCAAAUUGGCGUUUUUAUUUUUCCCAUGUAGGAUGGUGACCUUUAAUAAAUAUUUAAAACAAAAGACGAAAAAAAAAAGGAGGGAAAAGGGAUCACAAAAGAUAAAAUAAUGUUUACAAAAGCUCAAUUAGUUUGCAAAUUACUGUUUGGAUUUUGAUAGUAUUUUAUUUGUCGUUCUAUAUUUGAUGUAAAAGAGAAUUUAAGAUAUUUCCGAAGCAAAAGCAUUAGUUUGCUCUGUGAUGUCCCACAUCGAAUAGGGGAGAAAGUUUCUGGCGCUAUAUAUGUAGAGGCUCCUCUUAACCAAGUAGAUGCGUUUUAAAACCAUGAGGGCCCCCUUAGGUCCAAAGCGGACAAUAUCUACAUGAUUGGGUGUAAGUCAUUACAAAUGGUAUCAGAGCCGAUCCCCGACCCCGGUGUGGGGGUUUGUUUGGCCCUGUAAGGGGUGUUUGUCUGUUUGACCCCACAAUCCCAUGGGACACAACGAGGACGUUGUGUCUGCAUGGGGGGGCGUUUGUGAUGUCCCACAUCGGAUAGGGGAGAAAGUUCCUAGUGCUAUAUAUGUAGAUGUUUCUCUUAACCAAGUAGAUGCAUUUUAAAAUUGUGAGGGCCUCUUUGGGCCCAAAGCGGACAAUAUCUACAUGGUUGAGUGUAAGUCAUUACAUGCUCCAUGUCAAUUUCAGCAUUUCUCAUAUGUUUCACACAUACACAGAAGAGCAUCGUUUUUUAAAGCAUGCAUUUAUGUUGGAUUAAUUUGGAUUUUGUGGGAACUGGGGCAAGGAUCACAUGGAAGAGAGGUUGACUUUUUUCAGUACUUCAAUGGUUGAAAUAUGUGAAGGCUUGAUUGAUACUAAAGCUUGAAAUUGCGACUCUGUCAUUUGUAAAAAAAUAUGACAGCUUCCAUGCUCUCGUUUGGUUGCAUUGUCCGGUCGAGAGGUGCAAAAAGCAUUCUCUCUCUUCUAAUAGUCUUUUCGUUUAAAUCAAGGGAUUUGCCUUCCCGGUCGAGGUCCAAUAGAGGGUAACGGUCACCUACUAAACAUUAAAUGCUCCAACAACUAGUGAACUGAUCGACCCCAGCUCGACUAGUUGAGGUUACUUUUUGGUUUUCUUGUCUCCCGAGGUUAGAAACCUAUAAAUAGAGAGCUUCACUUCAUUUAUGAGUAAGAGAACACCUAAAUUUAUUUGUUUACCUACUUGUUUUUGCCAUAAAAGCUCUCAUUUCUUUUCUUGGUGUAUUAAAUCUCCAUUUGCAUAUCCUUUAGUGCACCUUUGUGAUUCAUUCUAGCCUUGAGUUGUAUUUAAGCCUUUGUUGAGCUAGGUUGAGAGUUUCAUACUUGUUUAUUGAGUGUUAAAGCCUUCAAGUGAGUUAAAACUUGAAGAGAUUGUGUAAGAGCCCAUUGGAGUCGGAAUCCAAGUGUAAAGGUGAUUAAAAGCUUGGUUGAAGCUUCAAGUUAGUGGAACUCUCACUCGGUUAUGAGCUUGAGAAGAGUGGACAUAGACAAGGCAGUGUCGAACCACUAUAAAAUCUGAGUUUGAUUUCUCUAACCUUAUCUCUUUAUAUUUGCUUCUCUUGUGCUUAAAUUUUUUGUGUUUAAAAAGAAUUUUUAAAAACUCAAUUCACCCCCUUCUUGGGAGUUUUUCUCUUUUAAGAUCAGCUUUUAUUUUCUCAAUUGGUAUCAGAACUAUGCCUCUUGUUUAAGACUUAAUCGUCUAAGAGGAAAUGGCUAAUCCAUCAAGUUCAUCUCACAUUGAAAGUUUUGCAACCAAUAGACUUCUUUUUUUUUUUUUGCGGGAACUGAUUAUCCCUAUUGGAAAACUAAAAUGACUUGGUUUUUACAAUCAAUUGAUUUAGAUGUAUGAGAUGCCAUUGAAGAUGACCUAACUUUUCCUUCAAAACUAGUUGAUGGAGUCAUGGUUCCAAAACCUAAGCAAGAAUGGGAUGAGCGUGAUUGAAGAAAUUUUCAAUUAAAUGCUAAAGUCGUUUAUACUUUGCAAUGCUCUAUGGACAGAAAUGAAUAUAAUAGAAUAUGUCAAUGCAAAUCGGUUAAAGAAAUUUGGAGAUUGCUUGAAAUAACUCAUAAAGGAACAAAUCAAGUUAAAGAGUCAAAAAUCAAUUUACUUGUUCAUAGAUAUGAAUUGUUUUUUAUGAAAGAUAAUGAAACUAUUGUUAAGAUGAUCACUAGGUUCACCAACAUUGUUAAUGGUCUUAAAGCCUUGGGAAAGACCUACAAGGAAUCCGAAAACGUGAUGAAGAUCUUGAGGUCACUUCCAUCAAAGUGGCAUACCAAGGUCACCGCAAUUUAAGAAGCAAAAGACUUGAUCAAGCUACCUUUGGAGGAGUUCAUAGGGUCAUUGAUGACAUAUGAAAUCAAUUUGGCAAAGAAGUAACAAAAAGGUGAAGACAAAAAGAAGAAGAACAUAACUCUCAAAGCUACAACUAAGGAAGAAGAAGUUGAAGAAGAAAAACAAAUUGAAGAAGAUGAAGAUUUAGCCCUCAUCACAAGAAAGUUCAACAAAUUCAUGAGGGGUGAAAGGUUUAGAAGAAGAAGGUUCACUUCUAGAAGAGACUUUUCUAAAAAGGAAUCUUCAUCUAAUGGUGACAAAAAGAGAUGGGAAGAGAAAAGAGACUUGGUGUGUUUCAAGUGCAAGAAACCGGGACACAUUAAAUAUGAUUGUCCUCUCUACAAAAGUGAAGUCAAGAGGAAAAAGAAUAAGGCAAUGAUGGCCACUUAGAGUGAAAGUGAAGAUGAAUCAUCCGAAGAAGAAAAUGAGAAAGAAGUGGCAAACAUGUGUUUCAUGGCAAUAGAUGAACUUGAUGAGGUAAAAUCUAACCUUAGUGAUUAAGAUAUACAUGAUGCAUUUGAAGAAUUGUAUGAGGAUUUUUAAAAACUUAGUUUGAAAAAUAUUUCUCUUAAAAAGAAAGUUCAACAACUUGACAAAGAACUUAGAGAAGUAAAAGAAAAAUUUUCAAAUGUUAAAGUUUCUAAAACUCAUCUUGAAAAAGAAAAUGAGAUUCUAAGAAAGAAAAAUGAAUAGUUGAACUCCUCUCUUUCAAUCUUUUCUUCUAGACAAAAAUCUUUUGAAAUGAUUCUAACUAGCUAAAAAUGUGUUUUUGACAAACAAGGGUUAAGAUUUAAAUCUUCAAAAAAUCAAAAGUAUUUUAAAAACUAUUUUGUAAAGGAAUCCACAAGUGCAAGUCCUUCCACUACUUGCAACUUUUGUGGAAGAGAAUGGCACAUUAGUAGUACGCCCUUUAAGAAAUGGUUCUCAAAAGAAUUUAAAUGCAAAAACUAAAAAAGAUUUGGAUUGAGAAAUCCAAGGUCACUAACCCUCAAGGACCCAAAAAGAUAUAGGUACCUAAAUCAACUUGAGUUUUAUGUUGUAAGGUUCAAAGAAUGAUAAGUGGUUCUUAGAUAAUGGUUGCUCAAGACACAUGACCGGAGAUGAAUCCAAGUUUGCUUUUCUUAAAAAGAAAAAUGGAGGAUAUGUUACCUUUGGAGACAAUGCAAAAGAAAGGAUGAUUGGUCAAGGCAACAUUGGUAAUGGCACAUCCUCUCUCAUUGAAAGUGUUUUAUUAGUAGAUGGUUUCAAACAUAACCUUUUAAGCAUUAGUCAAUUUUGCGACAAAGGUUUUUAAGUGAUUUUUUAAGCAUCUCAUUGCAUCAUCAAGGAUAUUCAAAAUGAUAAAACCAUUUUCAUGGGCCAUAGAUGUGAUAAUGUUUAUGCUAUAAAUAUUUCAAAAUAUGAUGGCCAUGAUAGAUGUUUUUCAAGCAUGCAUGAUCAAAGUUGGUUGUGCCAUAGGAGAUUGAGACAUGCUAACAUAGACCUCAUUUCCCAACUCAACAAAGAUGAACUUGUUAGAGGCCUUCCCAAAAUAAUUUUUUAAAAAGAUAAAGUUUGUGAAGCUUGUCAAGUGGGAAAGUAAAUCAAAAACUCUUUUAAAAACAAAAACUUCAUUUCCACAUCUAGGCCACUUGAGUUGUUGCAUAUGGAUUUAUUUGGUCCCUCUAGGACACCAAGUCUUAGAGGAAAUUCUUAUGCAUAUGCUAUUGUGGACGACUUCUCUAGAUACACAUGAGUCUUGUUUUUUAGUCAAAAGAAUAAAGUUUUUUAUGAGUUUUCAAAGUUUUGCAAUAAGAUUCAAAAUGAAAAAGGUUUUUCAAUUACUUAUAUAAGAAGUGAUCAUGGGAGAGAAUUCGAAAAUAUUGAUUUUGAAGAGUAUUGCAAUGAGCAUGGAAUUGACCACAAUUUUUUGGCUCUUAGAACUCCUCAACAAAAUGGGGUAGUUGAAAGGAAAAAUAGAACUCUUCAAAAAAUGACAAGAACCAUACUAAAUGAAAACAACUUACCAAAAUAUUUUUAGGCCAAAACGGUUAACACUUCUUGUUAUGUUUUAAAUAGAGUAUUAUUGAGGCUCAUACUUAAGAAAACUCCCUAUGAGCUUUGGAAAAACAAAAAACCCAACAUUAGUUAUUCCAAAGUCUUUGGAUGCAAUAUUUUAUAAUAAACACCAAAGACAAUCUUGGAAAAUUUGAUGCAAAAUUGGAUGUUGGAAUUUUCCUUGGUUACUCAACUUCAAGUAAAGCUUUUCGAGUUUUAACAAAAGAACCAUGGUUGUAGAGGAGUCCAUCCAUGUUAUUUUUUAUGAAUCUCCAAGAAAGAGAGAGGAUUGAUGAUGAUUUAGGUUUGAAGACCUCUAUAGGAAGAUUGCAAAUCGAAGAUAGAAGACAACAAGAAGAAAAUGGAGAGAAUCCAAAGAAAGAAGGAUCACCAUUGGCACUACCCCCUCAUCAACAAGCGCAAGGUGAAUCAAGUCAAGAGCUUCCUAAAGAAUGGAAGUUUGUCAUCAAUCACCCACAAGAUCAAAUUAUAGGCAAUCCAUCUAGUGGGGUAAGAACUAGAUCCUCUCUUAGAAAUAUUUGCAAUAAUCUAGCUUUUAUCUCUCAAAUUGAGCCUAAAAAUAUAAAUGAUGUUUUAGAUGAUGAAAAUUGGAUAAUUGCAAUGCAAGAAGAGUUAAAUCCAUUUGAAAGAAGUGGAGUAUGGGAAUUAGUACCAAGACCUUCAAAUCAAAGUGUUAUUGGAACUAGAUGGAUCUUUAGAAAUAAAAUGGAUGAAAAUAGCAUAAUUGUUAGAAAUAAAGCAAGAUUGGUAGCCCAAGGUUUUAAUCAAGAAGAAAUGAUAGAUUAUGAAGAAACCUUUGCCCCCGUAGCUAGGUUGGAAGCCAUUAGGAUGCUACUUGCCUUUGCAUGUUUUAAAGACUUUGUUUUAUAUCAAAUGGAUGUGAAAAGUGCUUUUUUAAAUGGUUUUAUAAAUGAAGAAGUAUAUGUUGAACAACCACCCGGUUUUCAAAGUUUCAACUUUCCUAACCAUGUUUUUAAACUUAAAAAGACACUUUAUGGUUUGAAACAAGCACCUAGAUCAUGGUAUGAAAAAUUGAGUAAAUUUCUUUUGAAAAAAAUGUUUUAAAAUGGGAAAAAUUGACACAACUCUUUUUAUAAAAACCAAAGAAAAUGAUAUGCUCUUAGUUCAAAUAUAUAUUGAUGAUAUCAUUUUUGGUGCUACUAAUGUCUCUCUUUAUGAAGAAUUUUCUAAGUGCAUGCAUAGUGAGUUUGAAAUGAGCAUGAUAGGAGAACUCAACUUCUUCCUUGGACUUCAAAUCAAGCAACUAAAGGAAUGAACCUUCAUCAAUCAAGCAAAGUAUAUAAGAGAUCUUCUCAAAAGGUUCAACAUGGAAGAAGCCAAAACAAUGAAGACUCUAAUGAGCUCAUCCAUUAAGCUUGAUAAGGAUGAGAAAGGUAAAUCCAUUGACUCUAUUAUGUAUAGAGGCAUGAUAGGUUCUUUGCUCUAUUUGACCACUAGUAGACCUUACAUUAUGUAUAGUGUGUGUUUGUGUACUAGAUUUCAAUCUUGUCUUAAAAAAUCUCACUUAAGUGUCGUGAAAAGAAUCCUCAAAUAUUUGAAAGGGACAAUGGACAUAGGCUUAUGGUAUCCUAAGAGUGAUAACUUUGAAUUAAUUGGUUUUUUGGAUGCUGAUUUUGUCAGUUGUAGGGUUGAAAAAUAAAACACUAGUGGCACUUUUCAUUUCUUAAGACACUUACUUGUCUCAUGGCAUAAUAAGAAGCAAAAUUUGGUAGCUUUGUCAACAGCAGAAGCUAAAUACAUAGCAACUGGUUUAUGUUGUGCACAAAUCCUUUGGAUGAAAUAAACACUUAGUGAUUUUGAUUUAUCUUUUGAGCAUAUUCCUAUUAAAUGUGAUAAUAGUAGUGCCAUAAGUAUAUCAAAAAAUCUCGUGCAACACUCUAGGACUAAGCAUAUAGAGAUUAGACAUAAUUUUCUUAGAUAUCAUACACAAAAGGAUGAUAUAACACUUGAAUUUGUAAGCAUAAAAGACCAACUUGCCGAUAUCUUUACAAAACCUCUAAGAACAUUUUGUUGAUAUUAGAGGACAAUUAGGAGUGAUUUCUUUAUGAUCUAAUGUGAUGAAUUCUUGAUGAAUAUACUUUUUGAUUGCAUGAAUUUCAUGUCAUAUAUGCAUCAUAUAGAAAUAUACUUAGAUAAUGGUCAAAUUUCGACCAAAAAUCAAAAUUCCCAUGGCAUUAGGCAUAAAAAUUUUGGAAUUUCAACUGAAAAUGGUAGGAGGAGGAUCACAAAAUGAGAAAGUAUGCAAAAAUUGAAAAAUCAAAACGUUGACCAAGCGGUCAAUCGGACUAGACCGAUCGACUAGUUUGUCGAGAUUUAGGAUUUUUAAGAGACUCCAACGCUUCAAUUUUUGCACCGUUCUCCUCUAUUUCUUCACGGUUUCUCUGAUUUUGUCUUUUAGAGACUAAUUUGAGUGCGUUUUGGAUCAAUUGAAGCAUUUUGGAUUGGAUUUUAGGAAGAUUGAAAGUUAAGGUUUCGGAUUUGGGUCGCCUUCUCUUCCUCUCGCGUGUCACAAUCAGCUUUAGCAUUGUUCUCUUUCCAUUUUCACACACCUAGGGUUUCAGUUGUGAGCAUCUCUCUCUCUUUACCAACCACUACUCCCUUGCUUCUUCCAUAUGGCUCCUAGGCGAGAGUCCGCUACUUCUAGGGCACAAGGCAAGCACCCAACUGAGUCGUCUCAGUCAAAGGCACGUCGAAAAGUGAGAUUUGACAUUGCCUUGUUCAGUUCCAUGGAGGACUACCAACUAUACAAGCAACACUUUGCUUAGAGACGAGUAGUUCCCAAGAGAAAUAUUAAUUUUCCUCAACUUCAGCAUUUCGAAUUUAAGGGUCUAUUUACUAGGAUGGUUGGUUGUCUAUUGUCACAAUUUCGGAGCCGGUUUUCCUGACCUUAGUGCGAGUUUUUUACUCGAGGGCGACUUAUGGCAUGGGUGGCAUGAUCAUUUCUACUGUUGGAGGAGUUGAGAUCUGUCUGGACCCAGAGAGCAUCUGCCAUAUUUUCGAUAUUGCUCUGGUUGGACUCAAAGUAUACAAGUCCAAAAUGUGGCCCAUUGUGCCAGGAUUUGAGCUUAGAGAGGUCAUUCAGAGGAUUUGUGAACUUCCAGACGCCCAGGAGAUGGGCAAACCAUUGCCACACAGUUUGACGGUCAUCAACAGGGUGCUACACCAUAUAUUGUGCUCUAUCUUUCUACCACGAAGUGGACAUUGAGAUGAGGUCUCUUAUUAUGAGGCAUUCCUUAUUGACUCCAUUCUAACGGAGAGACGAAUUCAUCUACUAUGUCAUCAUUCACUAAGCCUCCUCACAGUGACAUACCACCUCAUCAGGCACCUCUUGCUCCUGACCAUGCUCCAUUGAUGGAUUUAUUUACUCAUAUUAGCUCUCUAGGCACUCGCAUGAAGGAGUUUGUUGUAGUUAGUGAUACAUGGUUCUACUCCAUAGAGGAUCGCAUGGAUCAGUAUCAGACUGGCUUCACGUCACAGUUUGAGUAUCUCCAAUAGAGGAUUGAGCAUAUUGAGGAUCACUUGAGCAUGAGAAGAUGAUGGCUUUUCUAUGCUCUGUGUUUCCACCUCCACCUCGUCAACCUUGAUUUCUUAGAGACCCAUUGUUUUCAUUUUGUAAUGUUGCCAAAAGGGGGAGAUAUUUAGGAUCUAGGACUCUAUAGGAGACUUACAUGCAUAUCAUUUUCAUAUCAUUGUUUGGAUCGUACAUAUUGGAUAGUGAUACUUUUUACUUAUAUAUGAUAUGCCUAUAUGUUUCAUGUCUUACAUUGUUUCUUAUUGCAAAUUAUCUCUAACAUGUCUUGAUUAUCUUUUUUUUAACUUCAUAAAUUUUGAUUGUUAACCCAUGAUUGGUUUGAGGGGAAGAUUCUUCUUCUCCUAGAUAACCAAGGUUUGUCAUCAUAAAAAAAUUGGAGAUUGUUAGCCCAAGGGUUCUCCUAAUCAUGUUUUGAUGAUAACAAACCAUGCUUAAGUUACUAAUUGGUUUGAAUUAUAAAGAAUUUCAAGUGUUAAUUUGAAAAUUCAUCAAAGAACCUAAUGGAUGCAAGAUCAAGAUUUUUGGAAGACCUUUAAUCAUAAGAAACAUAUGUAAGAUGAAUGCAUGGGUGCACUUAAGAUUUGCAUAUCAUUUCAUGCAUAUUUGGAAAACACGGUUUAUGCUUUAAAGUUACAUUUCCAUCAAAAUUUGAGAUCCAUCAAAUGAACCUUAGGAAAAAUGUUUUAAAAUUGGCAUAUAAUUUUACCUAAAGACCUUGCCUAAGUGUUAGAAGCAAAAGGACAAAAAAAAUAUAGGUUUUCUGGUCAAAAAUGGUGAACCAGUCAAGGCAUUGUCUAAAUCAGCUCAAUCGGCCAAGGUACCGGUCGAUCGGUUUCCCUUUCCCUGUCGAGAUCUAGUCAAGAGGUACAAAAAUCACAAUCUCUGUCUCUUUCUCUCUUUGUCUAUCUUCCAGUAGUCUUUCCUUCCCGGUCGAGGGAUUUGCCUUCCCGAUUGAGGUCCGAUUGAGAGUAAUAGUCACUUGCCAAAUAUUAAAUGCUCCAACAGUUAGUGAACUGGUCGACCCCCACCUUGCCCAGUUGAGGUUACUUUUUGGUUUUCUUGGCUCCCGAUGUUAGAAACCUAUAAAUAGAGAGUUCCACUUCAUUUAUGAGCAAGAGAACACUUGCAUUUAUUUGUUUACCUACUUGUUCUUGCCUUAAAAGCUCUCAUUUCUUUUCUUGGUGCAUUAAAUCUCCAUUUUGAUAUCCUUUAGUGCACCUUUGUGAUUCAUCUUAGCCUUGAGUUGUAUUUGAGCCCUUUUUUUAGCUAGGUUGAGAGUUUCAUACUUGUUAAUUGAGUGUUAAAGCCUUCAAGUGAGUUGAAACUUGUAGAGAUUAUGUGAGAGUCGAUUGGAGCCGAAAUCCAAGUGUAAAGGUGAUUAGAAGCUUGGUUGAAGCUUCAAGUUAGUGGAAUCCUCACUCAAUUAGGAGCUUGAGGAGAGUGGACGUAGCCAAGGAAGUGUCGAACCACUAUAAAAUUUGAGUUUGAUUUCUCUAACAUUGUCUCUUUAUAUUUGUUUAUCUUGUGCUUAAAUUUAUUGUGUUUAAAAAGAAUUUUUAAAUACCCAAUUCACCCCCCUCUUGGGUGUUUUUCUCUUUUAAAAUUAGCCUUUAUUUUCUCACAAACUAUUGUAGUAUAGUGGUUUUUAGGUGUCAUCCAUUAGGAUGAAUUGUUCUCGGUAAUUAAGGCGUGAAUGAGAGGAGAAUUAAUGAUUGUGAUUAAGUAAAAUUGAUUUGAAAAUUCAUGGUGAAAAAUCAAUUUAACAAUGGUUUCUAAUUGAGAAAAACAAUGAAAUGUGAAAUAAAAUAAAAUUAAUAGGAAAUGAAAUUCUCGAAGUUAGAAUUUUCUAAAAAACAAAUUCCAUGGUGAAUGGAUGUUGAGAUCUAAUUUUCAUCAAGUUAGAUUGAAAACCGAAAUUUUCAUAUAAACUGAUUUUUUAUUUAGUUUUAGGUCUAGAUUUAAUUUCCCUUAAAAUUAGGUUAUUUAAUCCAAGAAAUCAAUUCAAAUCAUAUAUUCAAUUCAUCUUAAAUUAUCUUCCAAUUAUUCACACAAUGCAACUAUUCAAUCUCAUCAAAUCUAGCUUUUAAGAAUUUAAUGAAUCUACCUAGUUUGCAUUGUAAUAGUCAUCCAUGACAAUUUGAAGAGAAAAAUAAUUCAAUUAAUCAAUCACUUGGAUCAAAUUACCUUUGCAAUUAAAGUUCAUUUCUCUAAUUCACCACAGAUUUUGUCUCUAGAUCCUCCUUUCUCAAAGAAAAAUGAGAUUUAGCCACACAUGAUUGGAGAUUUGGUCUCAUAAGGCAUGUUUAGCUAGUGAUAAAAUGAGAGAAAAUAAAGAAAAAUAGAGAAUUCGAUUAAGAAAGAAAAUCUAAAAAAUUCUACAAUUAGAAAUGUCCAAAAAGCUUUUUCAUGAGAAAAUCAAGUUUCUAUUUAUAGGCCAAGGUCAAGUGGACACUUGACAUCAUCUAAGAGGUCUUCCGGAAGCUUCUUCAUCAAGAAAUCUGGAGUUUAAUAAUAAAAUGGUCAUUUCACAAGAGCUCAAACAAUUUCGCAUGAUUAUGUGAAAUAAAAAAUGCAACAACAGCAAUUUACAUCUUCUUGGAGCAUUUCGCAUGACUGUGUGAAAUUUUCACAUGAUCAUGUGGAAUCGACUUGACAACUCUCAUUUAGCCUACAACAUAAUUCCACCUUUUGGUCCAUUUUUCAUAGUCAUGCGAAAUGGAAAUAUUUGAUUUUUAAGUUUUCUUUUGUCAUUUCUUUCAUUUCCUUCUCUUGAUUCCACUUCAACUACCUCCGAAUCCUGGUCCAAACCAAUUGCAUUACUUCUUUCAUUAUGCAUUUGGAUCAUCAUCAACAUUAUUUGUUCUCUUCAAUUUGAUUCAUCUCUUUUGUCACCAAUUUAUCAAAAUCAUACCUUGAAAUGACUCCAAAACUUCAUAAAACUUGUUAGUAACUCUUGCAAGGGCAACAACAUAUUAAUUAAGUGUUUUAGGCAUAGUUACUACUCAAAAGAUGCGAAACUCAUGAUAAUUAUUAUAUAAAAUAUGCUCUUUUUGAGUAGUAAUCAACUUUCUUGCAUAAGCAGACCUUUUAGGGUGGAGUACUAAAGACCAAUAUGCUUGUCCUUGUUGUAAUAAAGAAACUUGCUCUUAUUGAUUGCACCAUGGGAGAAAAUUUUGCUACAUGAGUUAUCAUCAAUUUCUUCCCACCAAUCAUAGAUUUAGACGUGACAAGAGGCCUCUUAAUGGCAAGGAGGAACUGACACUCACACUUAUACAAUUAUCGGGCAUUGAUGUGUUGCAACAAUUAGAAUAACUUACACCAAUUAUGUUGGGGAAGUCACAAAAGGCAAACAUGAAAACUAAAAGGAAAAAAGAAAAAUGUUACAUAUCACCACAACUGGAAAGAAAAAAGUAUUUACUUUCAUUUGCCAUAUUGGAAAGCACUUAUUUUACAUCAUAAUAAUUUAGACAUAAUGCAUAUUGAGAAAAAUGUGUGACAAUAUAAUUGAGACAUUGUUCAGUAUUGACGAAGAAACAAGGACAACCUAAAUAGUCAUCUCGAUUUACAAGCUCUAACUAUUAGAAAUGAGAUUCACCCAAUAGAAAGCAGGACCAAAUUUAUUUUGCUUGCAACAUGCUACUCACUCACCCCAAAUGAGAUUAAGGAAUUUUGCAAGUUUUUGAAAUCAAUAAAGGUCCCCAAUGGCUAUUCUUUCAAUAUCUCUCGUUAUGUGCAACUCAAUGAAAGGAAGAUAUAUGAGCUCAAAUUGUAUGAUUGUCAUGUCCUAAUGCAACAACUUCUCUCACUUGUAGUUCGUGGAGUUCUACAUAAGAAUGUUUGUGGAGUUAUCAUAGAAUUGCGUAAUUUUUUCAAGCAAUUGUGCUCAAAGGUGUUAGAAACAAAUCACUUACACCAACUUGAGAACAAUAUUAUUGUCAUACUAUGUAAAAUGGAGCAAAUAUUUCUUCCAUCAUUCUUUGAUAUUAUGGUGCAUUUACUUGUGCAUCUAGUAAGGCAAAGGUUGCAAGACUUGUGCAAUAUUGUUGGAUGUACCUAAUUGAACGAUAUUGUUAUAAUUUCAUAUGAAUCAUUUAAUUUUAUUUUAUAUUAUGUUCAGUUCAUUAACAUGUACAUUGGUCUACAUAUGGAUGAUGAUAGGUACCUAAGCACUUUAAAGUCAUAUGUGCGUAAUAGAACUUUUCUAGAAGGUUCUAUUGUAGAAAGGUACCUUGCAAAAGAAUGUACAACAUUUUAUUCUAGGUACUUGAAUGAUGUGGAAAUAAAGUAUAAUCACAAUGAUAGAAACUUUGUUGGUUUCAACACUAGAGGAGAUGAAAGGGGUUAUCUUUAAACAUAUUGGACAUGCAUUGGGAAAGCCCAUAUUUCAUUAACUUAGUUCAAAAGAGUGGUCACAAGCACAUUUAUAUGUGUUGACAAAUUGCGAAGAUGUCAUACCAUUCAUUGAGUAAAAAAUUUAUUUGAAUUUUAAUUAAAGCUCUAGUUUAUAUCCUUAAUCAAUGUUUUUUAAAUUCACAAGGAGCACAAGCAAACCAUCAAGGCUAGACCACAUAUACGUGUUUGAGACGUAGAUUUAAUUCAUAACAAGGAAUUUAUCAAGUGGUUUGAAAGACAUGUAAGUAUAUUCCUUAUUAUAAGGGAUUUAUUUCACAUUAUGUUUAUAUUGAAUCCAAACCUAUUAUUGAAUUGUAGGUUGAACAAUUACAUAAUGAAGGUCAUAUAUCUGAACACCUUCUCACAUUAUCAUGUGUUCCAAAUUCAUUAGUUACAUGCUUCAAAUGAUAUAUUGUCAAUGGAUUUAGAUCCCACAUUAAAGAACGUGAUAAAAAAGUUUUUAAAAAAAGACUCAGAAUAAUGGAAUUGUUGUAGUUGCAAAAACGUCAAGCUUUACAAGUGCAUGUGAUAUGAGUCCAAUUAUUAGUGAUGCUCUCUACUAUGGUGUUCUAACUAAAGUUGUUGAGUUACAUUAUCUUGGUGAAAAUAAGGUUGUUUUAUUCGAGUUUGAUUGGUGGGAUGUUACAAAUAUUGGAAAAUUGAUAAAAGAUGAUGAGUACAAUUACACAUUUGUUAACUUUGCAUGAAUUCUAACCACGAACGAACGAUUUGUACUUGCAUCUCCAGCAAAGUAAGUGUUCUAUGUGAAGAAUGCGAAUGAAUCAGAUUGGCAUACUAUCAUGGAGAUGCAACCUCAAGACCUCUAUAAGAUGAACGGGAUAGGAUCCAAUGGUGAUUUUGAACCAUUUCAACAAAGUGAACUACAUGAUCACUAAUAUAUCUCAGAUUUAGUUGAUGAAGAUAUAAUCAAGUGGAACAAAAGUGAUGUUUUAGGACUAAUCAUCCUAAAAAAUAUUGUAGUUUCUUAAAAAAAAAAUGAAAAUGAAGAAGAUAAUUGAACCUUUGUCAUACUUUAAAAAGCAACUAUGCAUUGUUCAUUUUGUAUGUUUUGGUUUUCUUCAUUUAAUUUCCUGAUUUUUGUGAUUCAAUGUCAUAUUAUUGAUCUUGAAAUAUUUUUCUAAUUUUUCAUUCUACGAUGGUUUCAACAAGGAUGACAUCAAGUCAAAAAAGGAAAUGUGGUCCCACACACAAUAUUGCAUUACAGGGAUUAAGGUCAGGGAAGAAGGUAAAAGUUGCAUUUAAUGAGUACAAUCAAUUGGUUAAACAGAAAAAUGGAAAACACUUAUCGAGCUACAUAGGGACACUUGUAUCUAACCAACACAAUGUACCUCUCCAAGCUAGUGAUUGGAAAAAUGUUCCAAAUGAUGCAAAAGAGAAAGUAUGGCCUUUGUUUUGGUAUGUUGUAUUUCUCACUAUAUGAUGUCAUUUCACUGUUAUUCUAUUUUGUGACUAACGUUUGAAUCAUAUGUAAGAAAAAUUUGAAGUAGAUAAAGACUGAAAAGAUUACAUGUUGGGUAUAGCCUCAAAUAAAUAUAGAAGCUAUAAAAAUAUGAUGAAUGCAAAAUACUAUGACCCUUGGCAUAAGGAUGCAUGAGGAGAGGUUAAUACAUAAAUCACCAUUUGUCUCUGAUGUUGAUUGGAAGUGGCUUGUCUCUGAUGCAUAAACCAAAUCCCCCACUGAAUGUUUGAUAUUUGAUAGCAGGAAAAACACACCCGCAGCUAUACACCUCCAUCAUUCAGAUAAUUAUAGUGGGGGAGAUGAUUCAUGGUUGCCCUUAUACCCUUUAUUUGCACCAUCUAUUGAGAUUCUUUAUCAUGGCCAGGUUUUACUGCAGCAAUAAGAUAUGGUGGCAACAAUUUUAUCUAUAGGUGCGGUUCCAGACCGCCUCCAUAGGUGCGGUUCCUGACUGCCUCCAUAGGUGCCUCUUCUUGUAAUGUUUGUUCUGGGAAUUACACUUGAAAGCCUUAUCGUGAUAAGGGAUUACAAACACUAGUUCAGAGGACAGCCAUGUUAAACUUCCACUAUGUUUGUGUCACAUUAUCAGCAGCCUAGUGUUUAUUGGUCAUGCUAUCUGCAACUAAUAUAACCCGGUGAACUUCAAUCUAAAUUCUGAAAGUACUCAUGUGACAGAUGGUGCCUUUCAGCAGAUAUCAUCAAUUUAAAAGUAGUGUGUGUGCCUAUAGGUGGGAAGGCCUUGGCAAAUGUUCAGUAUUCCGGUAAUUCAAGAAGGAUAUAUCUAAAAUAGAUUUUCUUCUUGCCCAUUUCAAUAGUUAAAAUUUGAGAAGAUUGUGUCCACAUCACACAAAUAUUAUUGGUCCUUCUGUUGCAAUUUACCUCUGAACAUGUCUUCCAAUUCCCACGGUCCUGUUACUCCAGGAAAACUAUUUCGGUCAUAUUGAAAAAAAAAAUAUUAAAGAAGGUACACAUGCUUUUAAGUGGACUGGGGCAUUCAUAUCAGGUGGUCUGUAUCCACAUAUGCCACUUCGUGAAAGGUGGAACAGCCUAAUCACUAGGCUAUUUAGUGUGGCCCAGCCACGUUAAUCAAGCACAAGUCUUCAUACUUAAAGUCAAAUGGUGUCUUUAGUCUCAUUACACAUCGCUAUUUGAAGAUUAACUCAUCACUAGUGUAAUGCGAUUAAGACAGUCCUAACUCAAUAUUUGUUCUAGUUUUGGAUGCAAAUGCUUGCUGGUUUCAUCAUUGGAUGGGAUAAAGGUGCAAUCAGGACUAUGAAUACGUGCAGUAAUACUUCAUUCUCUUUUUUCUCAAUGAGACUUCUUGGCACAAUUUUGCUGCUCAGCAACCUACCUUUCCAUGGAAAAUCAGUUGUGACUGAUAGUAAUGGAUAUAUUCUAGAAAGCUAAACAUAGAUAGCAUUCAAUAUUAUCGAUAUAACAUUAACAGCGUAUGUCUCAAUGCUCAUCAGCUACAAGCAAUGGACAAACACUUUGAGUAACUCACAGCAGUCAAAAUUCCUAAACAGGACAGACGUGACAGAUCUAUAUAUAGAACACUGCAUAUGAGUCACAGGAAAAGAUAAUACGGGUACAUAGAAGCUCUUAUUUUACAUAUUACUCAUACUGAUCAAAGUCGCUCAGUUGGGAUGGAUGGGAGAAGGAGGUUUGAGGGGUGGCUUGUGCGGGGAAGUUGGCAGCUUCUUUCCGGGAGCUGGUUGCUUCUUUGCUGGAGUUGAAGGAGGCUUAAUCUUCCGAGGUGGCUUGUAUGAGUCUUCAGCAUUCUCAGCAGGAGGGUGACCAGGGUUGUGACCAUAAUGUGGUGGCUUCUCUCCCUUAGGUGGUUUGCCAACUGGGGUUGGUGGCUUGUUUUCUGGGAGUGGCUUCUCUCCCUUGGGUGGUUUGCCAACUGGGGUUGGUGGCUUGUGUUCUGGGAGUGGCUUCUCCCCCUUGGGAGGUUUUUCGAAUGGGGUGGGUUUGUGUCCUGGUGGUGGCUUCUCUCCCUUGGGAGGUUUACCAAUUGGGGUCGGUGGCUUGUGUUCUGGGAGGGGCUUCUCUCCCUGGGGAGGUUUAGUGGGUGGCUUGUGUUCUGGAGGUGGCUUCUCCACCGGAGGCUUAUGCUCUGGUGGUGGCUUCUCGAAGGGGGGAUGCUCAGGGUAAUCACCAAGUGAGGGGGUGGUGAGAACCACCAUGCCAAGCAACAACACUAGCAAGUAUGUAGUAGACAUCUUUGGGUUUGGACUCAGACAGUGCAAAACUACGAGAAAUCGCUAGCCCUUUAUAGCGGCUCGGACCUAAUACUGACAUAAUAUAAAAUAAAUAUUAUAUUUUAUCAAGAGAGAACAGAGUGUAAUUUUAUCAUUAAUACCGAUCGAGGCCAAAGAAAGAAGACCCAUAAUCCAUUUCCCACAAGCAUACACAAUGCAGCUGUAAUUUUAUCAUUUACUUUUAUCCCUUGGACCACUGCAUUUUUGUUGAGAGACACAAUAACACAUUUUUAUCUGUCAUUCAACAUUUACAGUAAAGAGAGGGCACAAAACGCAAUUAGAUAAAUUAUGUUUUGCCUGCUAAAAAGAGGCAAAUAACUUUAUUUGCAACAUAAUUAUUUUGGUUUCUAGUGACCCCGGGGCCUUUCGGUUGGUUUGGGAUCGGAAAAUGAACAUCAUAGGGGGGGUUGUGCCCUUAUGGGCAUAUAUAUCUGAUAGCUUCAACUGGCCUUGUUCCUAGAAAGAAAUUGCCAAAGAUAUAAACUUAUUCCAGGCUGAAAGUAGAUGAGAGUCAUAAUGAACAUCAACCUUUGUUCAGUUUGAUUCAAUGCCCCCAUAGUGUUCAUUUCACAGAUCUGAAUGAUUAUAUCCGUUGAAUACAUAAAUUAAUGAAGACAAAUAUGAAACCCAAGAUACAUCUCUGCAUAACAACCCCAACCCUGGUUGCUAUGUUUCCCUUCUUCUAUUCACAUGAGGAUACUGGUUAUAAUUGUCAAACUUGCAACAAGCCCUUUGACACCUAACGUCAAUGGACGAAUUAAAAGUCUCCUUCAAACGUCUAUUUCACAGCAUGAAGCUUAUAAAGGAUGCUGACAACCUUCAGAGUUAGCGACAAAAGAUAAUUAUCAAGGAGAGAUAGUUCCAUGAGAAUUCCAAGGAGUCUGAAUCAAAGACAAAUUGCUCACUCAAGGGUUCUUAUUUUCUUUUAGGUACAAAUCUCUUGAGUGUUGUUAAAGAAACACGUCACUGUCAUUUUGAUUUGCAUUUAACAUUUCACUUUUGUUCUGGAAGGUUUGUUCCGGAAACAUAUCAAAUGAGCAUCAUUUUCUUCUUCGGUGACACAUGGUCGCGAGUACGUGGGUCCAUUUUCAUGCCACUUAGUUGAAAAGUUGGAAAGAAAAAACAUGCCAACAAGAAGAUAGUGAGAGAAGGGGCACUUCAAGCCUUUAACAUGAACAAACAGUAAAUAAAAGAUGUUUCUCCACUCAUAAAAGUGUGUUAGAUAGCAAUAUAACGAAUCACAUCCAAAAUCUUUACUAGGCUCAAACAUAAAGAAGACUCAUUUUUAAGAAAAGAUAAAAAUGGCAUUGUCUGAUAGUAUCCAAUACACGAGAUGGCACUUAAUUUGUACAAGAUCUGUCAAUGCUGACGCACAUUUUCUGAUUAAAAAAAAACUGAUCAGUCAAAAGCAAUGAAGAGAAGUGAUGACAAUGAAUGAUGCUUCCAAUAUUUUCACCCCUUAUAGUGUUCUUCAUGAUUCAGAUAUAUAAUUGGAAAUAGAACAACCCUAUGCCAUACAUUCGUCUAAGUAUGGUGUCUAAUUUUUUGUGUCAGCGGUUGCGAAUGGAGCGUGCAAAAGUCCAAAUUGGCGUCUCUCCAUUUCCACAUAGGAAGGUGACCUUUAUUGACAAAUACCCAAUAUUUGUAGACAUUCCUUAAAUAUCAUAACUUCUUGUUGAUUUGAAAAUCAUUUUUCAACUACCAUGUUUUAAUAAAUAUUUUUUAAAAUGUAUUUUUAUCAAAGUCCACCAUGAUGGAUAAUAUUCACCAUGCAAUAAUUAAUAAAGUACAAACUAAGCGAAAUGAAAAGCAUUUUCUUUGCUUUGAGUUGAUUUUGGUUGCAUUGAGUUGAUUUUGGUUUCAUGGUUUUUUCAACUCUUAUUUUGAUUGGAAGAUGUCAAGAAAAGAAAACAUAAAGAAAAAUUAAAAGGGAAAAAAGAAGAAAAAUAAAAAAAAAUAGAUUUAAAAGUUAAUAAAUUAUUUUUUAUAUUUAUUUUAAUUCAUUUCACUUAUUUUUCUUUUACUAUAUAAAAUUUAAAUAAUUUAAAUUUUAUAAUUAAUUUAAUUACAUUUCAUUUUCUUCUAUAUUUAAAUAUUGGAAAAAUAUUUUACUUAAUAUUUUUUUCUUUAAUUUCUUUGGCAUUUUGGGAACCAAACUUAGCCUUUAAAAUAAAAAACAAAAAAAAAAUGAAAAUAAGGAGGGAAAAGUGAGAAAAGAUAAAAACAAUAUGUAAAGGAUUUGAAAAGUAUUAGUUUGUAAUUACUAUUUGGAUUUCAAUAGUAUUUUAUUUGUCUUUCUAUAUUUCAUGUAAGAGAGAAUUUAAGAUAUUCCCCAAGGCAAAGCAUUAGUUACCUGCAAUCAGUGGUGAUAAGGCUCCAAGCCAAUUUUGGGCCCCAUAUCUUAAGACAGUACAAUUUCCAUUUCAACAUUUCUGAUUUCUCAGAUGUUUCACAUACCACAGAAGAACAUUGUUUGUGAAAAUAUGCAUUUAUGUUGGAUUUUGUAUGCUGUGGGGACUGGGGCAAGGAUCAUAUGGAAGAGUGGUUGACUUUUUCUGUACUUUAACGGUUGAAAUAGGAUAAGCACGGGCAUUUGUGAGGCUUAAUUGAUUUUGAAGCCUGAAAUUGCGUUUCUGUCAUUUUGUCAAAAAAAUGGCAGAUUCCAUACUCAUAUGUUUGGCCUGUGGCCAUGUACAGAUGCCAUUUAGUGACCAGUUUGUAACUGUCAAUCGUUGCGUUUUGACUCUGCCUCAACAACAUCUGCCAUUGACGGGUUUUCAUACUUGCAAAUCAAAUAGUCUUUCGUCCCAUCAGGAAUUUCGGUUUAAAUAUUAUUAAGCAUACGUUUGGCUGACAAUCAUUAUCCAGUUCAUGAUUUGGUUUCUUACCCUUAAUCAAUGGUUUCUAAGUGAAUAUAUGUAGAAGGAAAUCCGAAGUGUAGACAGUAGUAUCGAUAACUCUCAAUAUUCUCUAUAUAAUAGAAUAAACAGCGUCAUAGUGAUCGUCGCCUACAAGCAAGGUACAAAUACCAAAACGAGUGACUCACAUAGACAUCUCCCAACAAGAUGUAGUAGUGACUGACACAUGGACACAAUUAACUCGUAGAAAAGGAUAAGACCAUUGCACAGCAGCUCUUAUUUUACAUACUACUUAUGCUAACCAAAGUCAAUUAGUUGGGAUGGGUGGGAGAUGGAGGUUUGUGCGGUGGCUUGUGGGGCGGAGUUGAUGGCUUCUUUCCAGGAGCUUCUGGCUUUUUCAUCGGAGCUGAAGGAGGCUCAAUCUUAUGAGGCGGCUUGUAUGAGUCUUCUUUACUCUCGACAGGAGGGUGGCCAGGGUUGUGAUCAUAAUGUGGUGGCUUCUCUCCCUUAGGUGGCUUGCCAACUGGGGUUGGUGGCUUGUGUUCAGGAAGUGGUUUCUCUCCCAUGGGAGGUUUAGCAAUUGGGGUUGGUGGCUUGUGUUCUGGGAGUGGCUUCUCUCCCUUGGGAGGUUUAGUAGGUGACUUGUGUUCUGGAGGUGGCUUCUCCACCGGAGGCUUGUGCUCCGGUGGUGGCUUCUUGGUUGGAGGGGGCUUGGGGUAAUCAGCAAGAGAUGGGGUGGUGAGAACCACCAGUCCAAGGAACAACACUAGCAAGUAUGUGGGAGACAUUUUUGAGUUUGGGCUGAUCAGAUGAUGCAAAACUAAAGCAUUACGUGACCUUUUAUAGCAUGUAGCUCCCAAUACCCACUAAGUAUUGUGGGGUCCAUUUGUGCCCUACGGGGUUGAAAACUUAGACAAUUGGGCAAGGACCCACCUGACUAUGGAGGACUAGUGAGGUGUGAUCAUAGCUUUAGGAUUUUUCUUCCUCUGCAGCCGUCGUGCCGUUGGCAUGAUUUUCUUAAUCUUAAAUAAAGGCAUAGUUAUAGAGUUGUUUAAUCUCUAAAUGGGAUUUUAUAUAUAUCUUCAGAUAGCCAUUAAUAUAUUUGAUGAAGAAAGAAAGACAAGUGCAUACAACAUGUAUACGACUAGCUUUCAUGGAGUUCAUUUAUGAUCAGUUUUCCUGUACAUGUAAACCAGGAUCAUAUAUAUGUUUCUGUUCCACAACUAUUUUGGAAUCUUGUUUAUCAGUUUUUAUCAUUAUAAUGUCACAUAGGCUGCCAACUUGGGCGCUAAAAGAACCAGUUGGGCUAGUUCGUUUCAGAAUUUCAAUGUGGAUUCAGGAAUUGUUUUGUAAGAUAUGCGAAAUAGUAGAGGGAUGAAUAGUGUUUCAUUAAUAAAAGUGUCCUGUAAAUUAGAAGGUGUCAUAGAAACUAUAAUCAAUAAAUAACUUUUUUUCCCCACGGGUGGUGUUUCUUGUGGGGAUCAGUGACUGGUUUAGGUUCACCCAAAAUGAGUUCAGACUAAAAUUGGUUUGAGUCAAUGCCGUGUCUCUUUUUUCCAGAAAUCAACUAUUUUAUGCAUUGAAUAAAUCAUACAAAGAAAAUAUGAACGCCCGCAAAACCUAAACCCUGGUUGCUAACUUUCUAUGUUUCAGUUCUAUUCACGCAAGAAUAUUAGUUUAAGUUUGGGAAAAAUGGCAACUUACCUAGUGAUUACUUGGUUUUGGUUUGCGACUAUUUACGCAACCAACCAUGAGUUUGACUUUAACGUCAUGGGUUGAAGCCUCCUACAGGAAGGGAGAAAGCUCCACAGCUAGCUCCAAAAGAGAAUUAUCACAUUGAUAGCUCCAGAGAUUCCCAAGGGGACUGAAUCAAAGACAAGUUCCUCACUUUUUCUUCUUUUGAGGCCAAAUAUGAACCAAGGAUCACACAACCUCAUUCAACUUCAUAAGUUUGAUUUCAUGCAGUUGAACACUGGGUGAAGGCCAUGACAAGAAUUGAUUCAAAAAUUCUAUCACUCUUUUAAGUAAUGGAAGAUUAUUAUCUCUGAUUGGCAUCACAACAGCACAUGCUCCUAGAUCUUUCUAGACACUCCAUGCAAUGAAAGCACAAUGGAUCUUGUAACGAUAGAAACUAAGCCAUGCUACAGUACUAGAUGAUGAGGUAAAACUAGUAGACACGGGUGGCAGCCUAUAUGGGAGGGACACAAGUCUAAUUGAUUUGCAUUUCAGCAUUAUAGAUAGGUAUGUUUUGGAAGAUUUGUUCUGGAAAUACCGCACCAAGUAGGAUUCUUUUUCUCUUUAGUGGGUCCACUUGCAUGCCAAUUAACGAGUUGAAAAGUAUGAGCACCUACCUCGUGCUCGUGGAACCGAAGGUCAGUGAAGUGGGGCUCCUUUUGGCCUCGUGUAAACUUGAUUCAGAAGUGAAGUUAAUAGUCUUCCAUUCAGAUGGAUACAUGGGAAUUUUUCUCUUUUAUUUAUUUAUUUAUUUUUUUUUUGUGUGUGUAUGUCAAAGGAUAAUGAAUGAAGCGCGUUAGCUUGUUUUCUGACUGGAACCGCAGAUGUCCAAAUUGGAGUUCCUUCAUUUCUUACUUAGGAUUGUUACAUGUAUAAACAAGGUAUAAGAAAUAUGCCAACGUGUCUUGAGGAGUUAUUGAUUAGAAAUAACAAGUCACCCGACUGUAGAGUUCCAAGAUUUGAAUCUUCAGACCCUAUAGCAGCCUCUGGGGUACGUGGCAUCCUAUAGCAUAUUAAUGAAGGCUUUUUCGAUUUAGACUUCACAAUACCAAUUAAUAUGUAUGCACAAAAUGGAGAUGACCCCAAAAAAAACAGAAUCGCCAUAGUUUAUGAGGUUAAGGUGAUUCUCCACUUAAUAUCUACAUUAGCUAAUUAUGUAAAUCAAAUGAACUUCUAUUUUUCCUUUUUUUUUUUGGUUUAUGUCAAAUAGUAGCCCAUAAUUAACCCAACCAUUAGCCUGUUUGAAUUGAUUUCACAUGCACAAUGUUGUAGUAGUUCAUAUUUUGAAUUUUAUUUUUACAAAGGUAGUUAAGGAAAAUGAAGUAUAAUAAUUAUAAAAGCAGACUAUAUACACUACAAUAAUUGUUAGAAUGGUAUCUCAAAUUCUAAUUUAAAAUAUUAUUUUUUGUAAAAGAAAUAUUAUAUAGAAUAUUUCCUAAUUUUAUAAAUGAUUAUAAUUAGAUCUUUAUAAAAUAAGGAAAGUUGGUAAGAAUAUCUUUAUAAAUAUUUUAGGUCAUGAGAGAAAGAAAUGGGAUAAAAAUGUGAUGAAGAGGUGAAAUAAGAGAGUUGAUUAGGAUAUAGAUGUGAAGAAGAAAGGGAUUCAAUAUAUAUAUAUCUUUCAAUUACCACAUUAAAACCCUGUGAACCUUUUAUAUGGUUUACUUUAUUUUUAUAUUCCUCCUUUAAUAUAUUUACAUUAAUGCUUCCAUUGGCACAACAAUAACGAAUUACAAAUACAAGCAACAAGUCCCAUGUUUUAUUACCAAAAGCAGGUAAAAUCCACCUAAUAUAUUACAAUAUAUUCAUCCAAUAUUUUAGACCAAUUCUUCACCAUAAAUAUCAUAAUGUGGCUUUUGUUCUUUCUUAAAUUUAAAUUGAAUUGUCUUAUAUCAAUUUGUUUGUGAUUUUUUCAUUAACUUCACUUUCAUUUGGUUAUCUUUGGUUUUUGAAAAGUAUUAAGGAAUUAAUUAACAAAAUAAUGUUAAGAAAAAUAAUUUUCUCUCUUUUGAUUUUGAUUUUGUAGUAGAAAAAUAUAAUUAAAAUUAUUUAAAAAGUAUGUAAUUUUAAAUUAUUUAAUAUUUAGAUAAAAAAAAUAAGUCUAAUGAGUUUAAAAUAACAUAUAAAAAUAAUUUAUUUAUUUUAAAUUUAUUUUUUAUUUUCCAUUAUGUUCUCUUUCUCUUUUACUUUUUCAUAUUUUUUCUUACGAAGAAUCAAACACAACCUCAUAUUAUAUGUCAAGUGUUUGUCUAUAUUUGAGCAAUGUUAGAUACGGCCAUGGAUUCAUCAAACUAAACUGAUUUUAAUAGAUACUUCACAAAUUGAUUUAUACACUAAAUCAUUGGAUAGCAAUGAUGCAUUGGAAUUAAACGUAGGAUGAAGCUCGAAGAACACUGUUUGUGUAACAACAUAUUUAUGAAAUUAUGCAAAGGAUGAGCUUCGGGGUAGUAGUACAAGGUCAUUAAUGGAGAGCCGUGUUAAACCUUGAUUGUGAUUGGAUUCCGUUAUCAGCAACAGCAACCUUGUUUGUAACCUUGAAAGUCAUUCUGUCCACAUCGAAACUCCAAUUUGACGUUUGUAAUUACCAUUCCUGGAGUGUUCCUUGAUUGAAAUUUAAAUAAUAAUUGCGGCCCACAAGGAAUAUUUUCGAUUCUGUGGGAAUUUGACAAGGUUUGUUAGAGAAGACUGGUGACAUGUUGACUUCAAUGGUUCAAAUAGGAGACGUAUGUGGAUUUGGGGGGUUUAAUUGAAACUGAGUCCCUAUGGCUUUUUAAUAUUUGCAUUGAGCAGUCUCCAUGUGACUUCCUAAUUCCCACCAACCCUCCUGUCCAUGCUGUGAAACUAAAUUGUAAUUUAUCAGCCUUUGUCAAUGGUUUCUAAAUUAAAGAUAUAGACCAUGCAUGUACUUUAAUAAAAGCAAAUCUAAAGUGUAGAUAGCAGCAAUGGUGACACCCAAUAUUCUCCAUAAAAUAGAAUUAGAAUAAGCAGUGUUACAUUGUUCAUGAUCACCUACAAGCAUACAAGAACUUCCAUGAAUAACUCAUAGCAAUUGCCAACAGGGCGUCGUAGAGACUCAUACAUAGAACACUAUCCACCCAGAGGAAAGGACAAGACCAGUGCGCUGCAGCUCUUAUUUUUCACAUGUAUACCACCACUCGUAAUAACCAAAUUCACUCAGUUGGGAUAGGUGGGAGAUGGUGGUUUGUGGGGUGGCUUGUGGGGAGGAGUUGGAGGAGGCUUUAUUUUCUGAGGCGGCUUGUAUGAGUGUGCAGGAGGAUGCCCGGGAGUGUGACCAUAAUGUGGUGGCUUCUCUCCCGUAGGUGGUUUGCCAAAUGGGCUUGGUGGCUUCUCUCCCUUAGGAGGUUUACCAAUUGGGGUUGGUGGCUUGUGUUCUGGGAGUGGUUUCUCUCCCUUGGUAGGUUUGCCAAUUGGGGUUGGCGGCUUAUGUUCUGGGAGUGGCUUCUCUCCCUUGGGAGGUUUGCUAAUUGGGGUUGGCGGCUUAUGUUCUGGGGGCGGCUUCUCUCCCUUGGGAGGUUUGCCAAUUGGAGUUGGCGGCUUAUGUUCUGGGAGUGGCUUUUCUCCCUUGGGAGGCUUGCCAAUUGGGGUUGGCGGCUUAUGUUCUGGGGGUGGCUUCUCUCCUUUAGGAGGUUUGCCAAUUGGAGUCGGCGGCUUAUGUUCUGGAAGUGGCUUUUUUCCCUUGGGAGGUUUGCCAAUUGGGGUUGGCGGCUUAUGUUCUGGGGGUGGCUUCUCUCCCUUGGGAGGUUUGCCAAUUGGAGUCGGCGGCUUAUGUUCUGGGAGUGGCUUCUCUCCCUUGGGAGGUUUUGUUGGUGGCUUGUGUUCUGGAGAUGGCUUCUCCCCUGGAGGCUUGUGCUCCGGAGGUGGCUUCUGAAAUGGCGGGGGCUUGGGGUAAUGAGCAAGAGAUGGAGUACUGGUGAGAACCACCAUUCCAAGCAACAAUACUAGCAAGCAUGUGGGAGACAUCUUUGAGUAGUUGUAGCUAAGAUGGCGCAACACUGUAGGCAUUGGGUGGCCUUUUAUAAAGGGCUGGACCCAACAGCCAUAUGACACGUGUCAUGAUGACAAAUGAAGUUGAGGGGAUCCAGAUGGGUCCUACUGAGUCGAAAACUUGCACUAAUUGAUCUGGUGAGAUGACUAUUUCUGUCCUUUUGCCCUUCUCGGCCACCCUGUGCUGUUUUCCUUUUGCACGAUUUUCGUUGCCAAACAAGCAAAUAAUAUUUCGCCAAGAAAGAGGAGAGUGAAUGUGGAAUGCAUCAAGUCCCAUCAAGGAUGGCAGAGAAGAAAUAGAAGAUUGCCCAACUGUGAUAAACAUAGCAUACACGUAGCACCAGGAACUUCAUUUACUUCCAUCUAAUGGAACAUAACAAUCUUCUAAAGUUUUUGCAUGAUUUUGUUAUAUGUCUCUUAGCCUAAAGUUGGAAAUGCGCAACAAAUUUUGUCACUUCUCUAUUUCCCACUGAUGAUGUUAAUUAGCCUUCAUAGAUAUCAUCCUUUCUACAAAGUGCUUCAUUUGUGUGUUAUUGUAAAGUGUAAGAAAAGUAAUUGAACAUGUUCUUUUUCCUUUCAUAGAUGACUUUUGAUGUGCAUUUUAAAAGCAGCGCUGUGAGUCGGUGACCUUGAUUCACACGGAAACUAAGGCUCCUAUAGGACCCACUUUUAGCUGGUUAGGGGUGAAGAAAAUAUCAACUUUUCAGAGUGAUUUAAGUCAAGGCCAAGCCUCACUGUGUCAUUACUCGUGUGAAUUUUAUAUGCACAUACAUACAUAAAUAAAGUAUGAGACCCAAAUAACACCUUCCCUUUACAAACUUAACCCCAGCCGCUCUCUUUCAAUUCUUUUCACACAAGGGUAUUGACUCUAUAAAGGUCAAGAAAAUCAUAAUUUCCUAGGGUUUACAAGGUAAUUGGCUUAAUGCUAAUGUGAAAACAUAAAAGAUAAUAGUAUAUUGUAAGCUAACGAAUAUUCUAUAGUUAUAAUUAUUUGUGAUGUGCAUAAAUAAAUCUUCAUAUAUAUAAUGGAACAAUGAAUAAAGAACCAAUGAAAAAAUACUAUAUAUCAUUGCUUGGCAUUUAAACCGUAUAUGCUGCUCUUUCUAGCUACUCCAUCCACUGAAAGACAACAAGGUAAUCCAUGUUAUAAUGAUAGAAGAUACUGUCUCUAGGCUUUUUGUGAUGAAAAAUAUAAGAUAUGGGUAGGGUUGACCCUUGUAUGUUUGUCCUAUAAACACUUCAAAGUAACAUAUUUUUCUUCUUUAGCAACUCAUAAUGAUGGGGUUCAUUUGCAUGUCACUGAGUUGAAAAGUUGGACAAUUGCCCAUGUCGCCUUCCUCCUAGAUUCCGUAGUUCACGGGAAGGUAACUCAAGUUUGACAUAUUUUGAAUUCUUUUCACUCGGACGUCUUCAUAACCUGACAAAACAAAAAUGAAAAACAGAGGAUUGGUAUAUUAUUCAUGGUAAGCCUCAAAUUAUAGUAGUAUGAGAAAGGAGAAAAAGAUUUUGGGAACUCCAAUCUGGAUAAUUCUCGUUUCUUCUCUUGAAUAAAAAUUUCACUUACCUAACUUCGUUUGGAGAAAUGGCAUAUUUUAAUUUUGUACGUCAUUGCUAAUAAAUGGAGCAAUUUAGCAUGUUUUGUGACUGAAACUGCAAAUGUCCAAUUGGCAUUUCUUCAUUUCCCACUUAGGAUCUGAUCUUGUAGACCAUAUAACGAUAUGUAUCUGUGCAAGCAUUGAAAACUAAUGUGAACUAUGAGGAGUUACAAGCCACUGGACUGUAGAGCGAGUGCCAAGAUUUAAAUCUUCAGGCUCUAUCUGGGUAAGGGGAGGAUAGCGACCUAACCUUUUACCAAAGGCUUAGAAUUUAGACUUUUGGAAAAAAAUUUCUCAUGUUUUGGCUGGAUUUCUUGUGCUUGGCGCAAAAAGGAGAUGGCCUCAAGAAAUAGCAGACUCACUUUUGUUUUCAGCCCUUAAUAAUUCUCCACUGCUUUCCAUAACUACAUGGGUUAUACAUGCAGUCUGCUGCAAUAUUCCAGUUAUAUUUAUUAUUUCAAAGAGGGUGAAUGACUUCACAUGCAAUAUGUUGCAGUAACAACCCAAAUUUUGGCACACCAUCUUAAGAAUAGAAAAGUAUAAUAAAAGAAAUCAAUCAGAGAAUCACUUUGCAUGCAGUUCAUAGAGUUCGCCCAAAAUGGAGCCACAUGUACGGACAACCCCACAAUAGACAAUCUUCUCUAUACAGUAAUAAAAUACAGAAAUGGUUAAUGAAGCUCUGUAUUUCCUUAUCAUAUAUGACCGGUUGAAAACUCAGCAAGUCUUCCUCAAUCACAGACAGUUGGAGUUGCUUCAUCAAAAUCAUGCCUUCAUUACUGGCUUCAUUUUGGUUUCAAUGUCUGUUCUACCCUUAAAUUGGGUCUCUGCUUACUACCGGGAUAUCCUUUAGCGUCCUGCAAUUCUACUAGAUUAAAGAGAAUGACUUAAUUCUGCAUUCUGCCGUCCCUAGUCCAAGUGGUACUAGAAUUGAUGUUUCCUUUAGUGUCCUUUCUUCAUACUUUCAGGUUCUUCCCUUGUUUCAAUAAUGCUGUUUUCCUUCAUGUUUAACCUCUGUUGAACCACUUAAAACAACACAAUUUGCACACCAAUGUUUCUUUACAGAAAAGACUGUUUGCAAAAAUGCACAUGUUAUAAGGUUAAUGGAAGAAUUAAUUUGGGGAUAAGGGACUAGGAUUGGGCCAAUGAAGUUUGGUGUUAAAUUUUGAUUAUGAUUGCUUUUCAUUAUCAGGUACCUUAUAUUUGCUGAUGCUAUCUGGAACUAAAUUCAAAUCAGACAUUAUCCGAUUACUAACAGGACAUAUCAUGUCCCUCUGCAGAGUUUCUAAACUAACAUGUAUCGAAAUGUGGCCCCAAAAGGAAGGCUAGGAAGAUGGAGGAUUUUGUAGGAAUCGACCAGAAUCAGAUGGAAGAGAGAUAGUCCUGUUGACUUUAAUGGUUGUGAUAGGAACAUGCAUCAUUAUAUGAGAAGUUGCAUGAAUUUAUGUAUCCUGUUAUCGUUCCUUGACGAUUUCCCAAUGCAAUUUCACUGUCCACAAGACUAACCUCUCCAUGCAGUCAAAUGAAUUGUAAUUUCUCUAUUGGUACCAGUAGUACAUUUCAUACCAAACAUAUAGUAAAUAUAAAAUAUAAAUAGAUCAAGGAAAUCUGAAUUGUAGAUAGCACUGCAAGUAACACUCAAUAUUCUCUAUAUAUAAUAAAAUAAACAGUGUCACAAUACUCAUCACCCAGUGGCAAGGGAGAAAAACCUACAAUGAGUACUCAAAUCACCAUUCUCAAACAGAAACAUAGCAGUGACUGAUACAUAGAACCUAUAUGCUCACAGGGAAAGAAUAAGAUGACCAGUGCACAGCGGGCAGCAGCUCUUAUUUUACGUACAACUCAAAUCCCAAACUAACCAAAGUCGCUCAGUUGGGAUGGGUGGGAGAUGGUGGUUUGUGGGAUGGCUUCUGGGUAGGAGCUGGUGGCUUCUGUCCCUUUGGUGGUUUGCCUAAUGAGCUUGGUGGCUUGUGCUCCGGGAGUUGUUUCUCUCCCUCGAGUAGGUUUCGAGUCUUGUCAGAUGGCUUGUGUUCUGGUGGUGGCUUCUCUCCCUGGGGUGGUUUGCCGAAUGGGCUUGGUGGCUUGUGUUCGGGGAGUGGCUUCUCUCCCUGGAGAAGGUUACGAGUUUUGUCAUAUGGCUUUUGUUCUGGUGGUGGCUUCUCUCCCUGGGGUGGUUUGCCGAAUGGGCUUGGUGGCUUGUGUUCGGGGAGUGGCUUCUCUCCCUGGAGAAGGUUACGAGUUUUGUCAGAUGGCUUGUGUUCUGGUGGUGGCUUCUCUCCCUGGGGUGGUUUGCCGAAUGGGCUUGGUGGCUUGUGUUCGGGGAGUGGCUUCUCUCCCUGGAGAAGGUUACGAGUUUUGUCAGAUGGCUUUUGUUCUGGUGGCGGCUUCUCUCCCUGGGGUGGUUUGCCAAAUGGGCUUGGUGGCUUGUGUUCGGGAACUGGCUUCUCUCCCUUGGGAGGUUCAGUUGGUGGCUGCUGUUCCGUAGGUGGUUUCUUCACCGGCGGCUUGUGCUCCGGAAGCGGCUUCUCUACCUGGAGAAGCUUACGAGUUUUGUCCGAUGGCUUGUGUUGUGGUGGUGGCUUCUCUCCCUGGGGUGGUUUGCCAAAUGGAGUUGGUGGCUUGUGUUCGGGGAGUGGCUUCUCUCCAUUGGGAGGUUUAGUUGGUGAUUGGUGUUCCGUAGGUGGUUUCUGAAGUGGGGGAUGCUUGGGGUAGUCAGCAAGAGACGAGGUAGUGAGAACCACCAGUCCCAGCAGCAACACUAGCAAGCAUGUGGAAGACAUCUUUGAGUUCAGGCUGAGAUCUGUGCAAGGAUAACAGAAUUAGGUGGCCUUUUAUAGAGGCCUGGACCCAACACCCAUAUGACACGUGUCAUGCACUCAUGGUGACACAUAAUUCUAUGGGACCAUUUGGGUCCUACAGAAGUUGCAAAGUUGGACUACUGAGGUGUGAUCACAACUUUUGUCCUUAUUGCUUUCUCUGCGGCCAUUGCACGAUUUCCUUUAGCAUCAUUUUCUUGGCUAAAUAAGCGUAUUAUAUUUGUGGCAGACCGUCCACGUGUCAUAAACAGAUAUAUUAUAAUAAUGUAGUAUGCUUUUCUCCAAUGGAACAUGACACUCUUCUAAGUCUUGUUUUAAAUAUUGUGCAGGAUUACUUUAUACGUUGCAGUUCCAAGUCAAAAUUGGUGGGCAAACGUUGGCCUUUUUUCAUUUCACCUAAGAUUAAUGCUCACCUGGGAUAGGCACUACAUGACUUAUCUGCUCUUUUACUGUAAAGUUGCUUUGUGUAUGAGAUACACCUCCCCUGCACACCCUCAACAUUCGUUGCUCUGUUUUCCUUGUGUCCAGACGAGGAUAUUAAUUGGAGGCUGACAAAACGACUGCUAGCCCAGGAUUUACAAGGUCCUGGUUUGAGGCUUCGGUGAAAGUAUUUUUGAAAAGACACACAUAGAGAUAGUGCGUUUGGUGCAAUGCAGCACUGUGAGCCAUUCUGACGCGUUCUUAAUUUCAAAACUAAUGAAUGCUUCAAAAUUUUAAGAAGUGACAUUUCCAAAUAUUUGAGUUCGUUUAAUUGAACAUUGGAUAACUAGUGAUCAUAGAUUAUUAUCUGUGCUUGGCACUAUAAGAGGGUAUAUGCUUCUUUUUCUGGCCCCUCCUUCAAGGGAGGAGGGACAAUGUGAUCUGUAACGUUAGAAGCUAUUCCAUGUCAUCUUUGGGCUCAGUUCAAAACUAAAAGAUAAUGGGGGGGGGGGGGGGGGGCAUAUCAUUUUAUAUUUCUUCUAGAAGGUUUGUUCUGGAAAUAUUUCACAGGAGCAUAUCUUUUUCUUCUAUUACGUCAUCCGCAGCCUCCAAUAGGUCGGUUAACAAGCCACCGAGUUGAAAAGUUGGAAAAAUGGGAACACAGCCCGCCUCUUGUAUUCAGUAGUUAAAUAAAAGGUCACUAGAAGUGAGAUCCCUUUUGGCGUCUUGAUUUUCAAUCCAGCACCUCUGUGACCUGACAAACCAAAAAAACUAAAAAAUAAAAAACAGUACGUGGGUUGGUGUUAAGCAUCAAGACAUGUUAAUGAAAGAAGGUAGAGAAUAGGAUAUUGAAAUCCCAAUCCUGAUAACAUGAUUUUCUUUGCUAACAACCAUAUUAUAUUUUAUCAAGAAAGAGUAAUGCAUGUGGCGUCCAUCAAGACCCAUUAGAGUUCCGCUAAAGCUAUAGUUCUGUCAACGUUAUCAUUUACGUUUCCUCUAGAUAAUGGCAUUUUCCUCUAAAGCUCUUGCACCAUUAGGCUUCAAGUCAAAAUUUCACAUGUGAACUUUGGAAAUUUUCUCCAUUUGCCCCUAAGGAUACAGUUAGAAUUGACUUAAAAUCCUGAUUGAUAUGUACUAUUAACCAAAGAAUAUUGUAUAUAAUAAUUGAAAUAUUGUUGAUUCAUCGUGGAAAUACAUUUUGUAAGGAAAGUUGUUGAGAAUUUAGUAUGCUAUAUGGAGAAAAAAGUCAUGACUUAAGGUUGUGUAUGUAUAUUCUAUAUCAAAUAUUAGGUAGGAAUGUGGGAAAGAGCAGAGUGUAAUGAUAAGAAACAAAGAAAUAUAAGAUAUUCUUGAAAGUGGAAAAUAUAAAAUGGCUAACGAGUCAAAUUUAUGAUGCGUAAGGGGGAUCAUGUCACAUAAGAAAACCAUGGCAUACUAAAGACGUACGUGUGGUAUGGAGUAAUAAUUUUGUUAAAAUAAGUUUCUUGUUGGAGUACAUUAGGUGACUAUUCAUAACGUAUCAAAUUAAAGAGUCAAGUGCAUCAAUGAAGGCAUAUGUAGAAAAUUUGUUUGUGACAUGUACCAUAAAGAUAAGAUUGACUUGAUAGAAUUUAGUCUAAGUAGGAGUUGUUAAAGGUGUCUUAAAUUUCUAAUUGAUGUAUAUUUUUUUCUAAAAAAAUAUUAUAUAGAUAUUUUAAUAAAUGAUUAAUUCUUUGUAAAAAUACUUACAUAAUAAAAAACAUCAUUAAAAAUAUCUUUAUAAAUAUUUUAAGUUACAAGAAGGAAAAAAACCACUGUGAGAUAAUGAUGAACAUGCAACACUGUACCAAGUAAAUAAAAAUGUGAUAAAAAAAAAAGAGAAACACUCGAUAAAGGAAGGCUCGUAUAUAAAGAGUAAUAUUUUUAAUCAUAUGAUAGAAUGAUUUUCUCUCAUUCAUGAAUAUAGGCAAGAUUGGGGAACCAUUAUAAAAUUUUGUACACCUCGUGUAAAUUGAUGUUUGUCUUCAUAUUUUACACCAACAAAUGACAUUGAAGUUGUCAUUGAUAAAAGGGAAAAGGCAUGCCUCCACACCAUGUGCUUGAUUCGAAUGGUUCAAGUUUGAAGAAUUUUCUCCGGAAGAUCUAAAACAUUUUCGCCUUUAAAUUUCAUUUGAUUAUUAAUAUCCGAAAAAAUAGUUAAAUACUCUUUCUAUUUUUGAGUUGUUGAAUUUUUUGAAAGUUUUUAUAUUUGUUAUCAAGAAUUUCUAUUUUAUUAAGGGUGAAUAUUUAUAAAUAAGAUAUUAUAUAAUAUUUGGAUAAGAGAGAAUGGUGGAAUAUAAUAAAGUUUUAAUCCUUCCCAAUUUUGAACCUUUUUUUUUUUUUUUGAUAUAAUCGCCUUUCUCUUGCAAUCCUAUUAUCAGGUACCUUAUAUUUGCUGAUGCUAUCUGGAACUAAAUUCCAAUCAGGCAUUGUCCAAUUACUAAUAGGACAGAUCAUAUCUCUCUGUUUCUAAACUAACAUGUAUCGUAAUGUGACCUCAUAAGGAAGGCUAGGAAGAUGGAGGAUUUUGUGGGAAGCGACCAGAAUCAGAUGGAAGAGAGAUAGCCCUGUUGACCUAAUGGCUGUAAUAGGAGAAGCGUGUGGUUUUAUGGGACUUAACUGAUACUAAACCUGUAUGAUGCUUGGAGUGGUGUUUCUUUCAUUUUGUUAAGAAAAUAUGGCAGCAUACAUGCUUUCAACUGAGUGCAUCAGAGCAUCCAUAACAGAUGGUCUGCAACCCUAGGUGCAUGCCACUUUCUGACUGAUAAUGAAAUUGUCAGGUACCUGGCCUUGACUAAGCUCAACAGCAUCACAUAAAGAGAAGCUUUCAUACUUAGAUUACUGUUUAAAGUUUUUGCUUAUUUGAUUUCUUAAUGCCAUUAUGACAUUAUUGAUUCAAUUCUGCUUCCGAUUUUCGAAGUUCUGGGCAUCUACUGAUUGCAUCAUUAUAUGAGAAGUUGCAUGAGUUUAUGUAUCCUGUUAUUGUUCCUUUGCGAUUUCACUGCUCACGGGACUAACCUCUCCAUUCAGUCGAAAUGAAUUGUAAUUUCUUUACUGGUAGCAGUAGUACUUUUCAUAGCAAAGAUAAUAGAAAAUAUGAAAUAUAAAUAGAAGGAAAUCUGGAUUGUAGAUAGCACCAUAAGUAACACUCAAUAUUCACUACAUAAUAAAUAGACAGUGUUACAUAGGUAGAGAAACCUACAAUGAGUACUCAUCACCAUUCUCAAACAGAAACAUAGCAGCGACUUAUACAUAGAACCUAUAGGCUCGCAGGGAAAGAGUAACAUGAUAAGUUCACAGCGGGUAGCAGCUCUUAUUUUACGUAUUACUCAAAAUCUCAAACUAACCAAAGUCACUCAGUUGGGAUGGGUAGGAGAUGGUGGUUUGUGGGGUGGCUUCUGGGUAGGAGCUGGUGGCUUCUUUGUUGGAGUUGAAGGAGGCAUAUUCUUCUGAGGUGGCUUGUAUGACUCUUCGGCACUCUCUGCAGGAGGGUGCCCAGGGUUGUGACCAGAAGGAGGUGGCUUCUGUCCCUUUGGUGGUUUGCCUAAUGGGCUUGGUGGCUUGUGCUCCGGGAGUUGUUUCUCUCCCUCGAGUAGGUUUCGAGUUUUGUCAGAUGGCUUGUGUUCUGGUGGUGGCUUCUCUCCCUGGGGUGGUUUGCCGAAUGGGCUUGGUGGCUUGUGUUCGGGGAGUGGCUUCUCUCCCUGGAGAAGGUUACGAGUUUUGUCAGAUGGCUUUUGUUCUGGUGGCGGCUUCUCUCCCUGGGGUGGUUUGCCAAAUGGGCUUGGUGGCUUGUGUUCGGGAACUGGCUUCUCUCCCUUGGGAGGUUCAUUUGGUGGCUGGUGUUCCGUAGGUGGUUCCUUCACCGGCGGCUUGUGCUCCGGAA
rnacentral:lncRNA from 1 species